rnacentral:lncRNA from 1 species
AUCAAAUAUGUUUUUUACUUGUAAAAUAAAUAAUAUUUUAUAAAAUUUUAUCUCCAGUAUUAAUAUUAUAAUAAUCAUCAAAUAACCGUAACCGUAUUUAACCGUAACCGUAAUUAACCGUAACCGUAUAUAACCGUAACCCUCUUAACCGUAUAUAUAAUGAUUAAGGUUAUGGUUAAAAAAUUAUAACCGUUAACCGGUGGUUAAUUAACCAUAACCGCAUUAACCGUAACCGUGGUCAUGCCUAGUCACACGACUUCUUCUUUGUUUCUGUUAUUCAAUAAGAGACUCAGUCAUCCGAUAAUGUAGGAGACUAUCUCCACUUUCCCAAUUCCAGCAUUGUAGGAGUCAAUGACUCCACUUCCCUUUCAGUUAUUUGCUUCUUGUAAUUUGCUUAUUUAUAUCAAUGAAAAACAACAAAAAUAGGUAGUCUAAACUACCAAUCAAUUCUCGGGUGUGUUAUUGUGUAAUCUCUUAGUUCUGAGGAGGGACCAAGUUUAUUAUGUUAAACGUAUCAGCUAGCUAGAGAGGGAAAGUGAAUGUAUCCAUGUUCUUUCCUGCAAAAUCAUUACACACUUUUCCGAUAAAAUUAUUAUUCAUUCUUUCGCAACAAAAUAUCUUCCUUUUACAAUCUUCAAUUUCUUAUACUUGCUCAAUCGACGUACGAAUUAAAUUUGUAACUUUGGAUCUAAAGACGACGACCGAAGGACCUCUAGAACUCAAGAACUCAAAGUUUACAGAUAAAGAUCUUAUUAUAUAAACCUGGGUUUUAAAAGUCAGCCAUGAACAAGAUCGUGACACGUGUCAAUUAUAAAUGAUAAGAUAUUGACACGUGUCGUAAAUAAUAUUGUUAAAAUUUGGAUAAAAUAGAAAUAUUAUUAACCCUAUCGAAAAAGGAAAUAUAUAAAAUAAAUAUUAUAAAGAAUUUUAUAUUAAUAAAAAUUAUUAAUAAAAUUAAACAAAUAACCUAAUUUCAGUUAUAUCAAUUUGGUUUAUUAAUAAGAUAUGGAUUUAAAAUUUAUAAUUAACAAGAAUAUAUGGCGGGUUUUGUUUACAGAAAAUGAUUAAGGUUUAAACUUUAAUUUUACAAUUAAAUCAGGUUAUUUGUUGGUUUGAGUAUAUAAAUAAUAAAUAAGAAUUAUGGUUUAUCUUUAUAAAUUAAAAUUAUGGUUUAAGUUUAACAAUUAAACGAGAUUAUAUGUCGAAACUUGGUUUUUAAAUUUUCUAACUCACGUGAUCAUGAUAAGUGUCAAGUAAAAACAUAAGAUGUCGCAAAAUGUUAUAUCUAAUUUUGUUAAUAUUAAGAUAAAAAUAAAUUUUUUAAACAACAUUAAAAAAUAAUUAUAAAAAUUAAAGAGAAUUUUUGAGAAAUACCCCUUUUGGUGUACCCCUUUUCAAAAAGAGAAUUUUUGAGAAAUACCCCUUUUGGUAUACCCCUUUUUAAAAAUACCCCCUUUGGUGUACCCCUUUUUAAAACAAAAACAGUUUUAUAUGAUUCGAUACAAAUAUUUUAAUAUGUUUUAAAUAGUUUUAAAUCGUUUUUAUAACUUUUAUAAGGUUUUUAAAAGGUUUUUAAAAGGGUUAAUACAGUUUUUAUAAGGUUUUUAUAUGGUUUUUAUAAUUUAUUUUUCACUAUAUAUGAAAGUUAUAUAAAGUUUUAUACACAUAUAAAGGUAAUUUGUGUAUAUAUUUAUAAGCUUACAUACAUAUUUGGAUAAAUUUCAAUAUUUUUAAUGGUUUUUUUGAUAAAGUUUGAAAAUGGGGUAAUUUUAAAAAGAGGUAUAUGAAAAGGGGUAUUUUUGAAAUUCCCCCUUUCAAAAAUACCUCCGUUAUCUAUCCAUUUUCAAAAAUAUCUAUGUUUAAAUAUGAAAAAUUAUAAAGUUUUAUAUGGUUUAUAAGGUACUUUUAUAUAAUAACUACUACUUGGAAAUUUGAUACAAAUAUUUUAUAAUGUUUUAAAAGGUUUUAAAUUGUUUUUACAAGUUUUAUAAGGUUUUUAAGUGGCACACCAAAAGGGGUAUUUCUCAAAAAAAUUCUUUCAACUAUUGACCUAAUUUUUGGUUUUGCCAGUUGUAGGUUUUACAAUUAUAAGGGUUAUAUGUUGAGUUUAUAAAUGUGCAUUAUAGUUUAGAUUUUAUAAUUAAACGAGAUUAUUUAUCAGUUUGGGUUUAUUAAAGAGGAGUGAGAUUGAGGUUUUACAAUUAAACAAGGUUAUUUCUCAGUUUGGGUUCAUAAAGGAGAAUUAGGAUUUACAGUUUACAAAUAAAUUAGAUUUUGAGUUUAACUAAAUACAUAAUUUUAUUCAUGAUUUUUAUUUUAUAAUAUGUUAUAUUUUUUUAAUUUAUGUAUGAAUGUAUUAUGCCAUUGAGCAAUUUCAUUGUCUAAAACAUAAGGGUGAGUAAAAGAUUUUUGAAAAUAAUAUUUUUAGCUUAAAUUAAAGAUAACAAAGUUCAAUAUAAAUCUUAAUAUAGUAAUUUUAAAAUAUUUUUAAAGAAAAUGUGUAAUUUUUUAUGAUUCGUAUUUAAAAGAUUUUUUAAUGUUUUCCUCAACGAUGCUAUAAUUUAUUUUAGAAUCUUUAUGUUUAUUUGCGUUGUUUAUAUGAAUUUAUUUACAAAUGACUAUAUUUGUAUUUAACAUCAUAUUUUAGAUUGAUGUUAAUUUGAAAGAACUUUACCAUCAUAUUAAAUAAUAAUUAAUUAAUUUCAUAGUCUGUGAAUGAUUUUGUGAAAAAUUGAAAGUUAAGAAAUAACAAUUUUUACAAAAUGGUAUAAUCAUGUUUUAGAGGAUAAUUGCUAAAUUAAGAUUUUUUAAAACAUUAUUUUGCAUUAUUAUGAGUAAUGGUGAAUAGCUCCCAAAUGUUUUGGUGAUUGUCAGUUUAACAUUACUAGAUUUUUAUAAUUAACGUUUAAUAACGAAUUUUAAGAGAUAUAUAUAUAUAUACGUUUAUUUGAUACUUCAAACCAAAUAAAAUCUCUUUCCAAAUGAAAUUAAUUUCUCUUAUUUUUUCAAAAAAAUAUUUAGAAAUUAUUUUUUUAUAAGUUAUAACAAAUUUUAGUUUAGGUCUCUUACAUCUCUCAAUCUCUUAGUUAGGUCAUAACUCAACCUCUCUAUUUAUAUUAGAAAACAUUAAGAUAUUUCCUAUUCUAACAAGGAAAUAUUACUUCUCUGAAACUUCCUAAUCCUAAUCCAUAACUCGGUAGGAUUAACACUUAGCUUGCCCCUCAAGCUAUCUUUAACAUUUUCAAGCUUAGCUCAACAUUCUCCCCCUUAAGGUUGAAGUCAUUCUUUUUCAAGUUUUGAACUCCAAUAAACUCCCUCAUCUCCUUGAACUUGAUCCUUCCAAGUGUGUCAAGAUAUCAACCUUUUGUUCACUUCCGGCGACAUGCUCUACUUCUACUUGUUCAUUCUCUACACACUCUCUUAUAAAAUGUUACCGUGAAUAGAUGUGUUUGCUACGACCAUGGGAAACUGGAUUCUUGGUUAAUGCUAUAGCCGACUUGUUAUCAAUCCGGAGUGUAACUUUCUCACAUGGUUUUCCGGUAGCUUGUUUAGCCGCUUUGGUGGCAGCCAUAAACUCAGCUUGCUGCACCAUGCGAUACCUUUGGCUCGUGCAUAUACUUGCUAAGCAUACUAACACAAUAAGACAAAUACGGCCGUGUGUGAAGCAAGUAACGAAGGCAUCCAAUGUUUCUUCUAAACUGUUUUUCAUCAAUGCUUUGUUCCUCGAGUGCCUUAGACAACUUUAGACCUUCAUCCAUUGGUAUUUGAACUGCAUUACACUCAUUCAUUUCGACUUCUUUGAGAAUCUUCUUUGCAUACCGUUCUUGUUUUAAGGUAAUUCCUCCUUCAUGCUGCAAAACUUCAAUACCAAGAUAGUAAGUUAAUUUUCCCAAGUCACUCAUCUUGAACUUCGACGCCAUUCCUUUUUUAAAGUCGUGUAUUAGCUUUAGACAAGAGCCCGUGACCAGCAUGUCAUCAACAUAGACGGCAACAAGAAGUGUAUGCUCUCCCUCUUGUCUUCGAUAUAAAGAAGGCUCCUUAGUACACUUAACAAACUUCAACUCCUUAAGAAUUUUAUUCAACUUGUUAUUCCAUGCCCUUGGAGCUUGUCUUAACCCAUAAAGUGCUUUGUUAAGCUUAUACACCUUGUCUUCACAUCCCUCUUUCACAUAUCCUUCAGAAUGAGUAACAUACAUUGUUUCUUUCAAUUCUCCAUGAAGAAAUGCAGUAUUUACAUCUACGUGAUGGAUCUCCCAACCAUUUGUAGCAGCAAGAGCAAUUAUAAACCGGAUAGUUUCAAUUCUAGCCACCGGAGCAAAAACUUCAUCAAAGUCUAUGCCAUAUUUUUGCACAUAGCCUUUUGCUAAAAGUCUUGCCCUGUAUUUAUUGAUGCUCCCAUCUGAAUUUUUCUUGAUUUUAAACACCCACUUGAGUCUGAUUGCUUUAACUCAAGAGGAAGAUCAACUAGCUUCCAUGCUUUAACUCAAGAGGAAGAUCAACUAGCUUCCAUGUCUCAUUCUUUGUUAUUGAUGAGAGUUCUUCUUCGGAAGCAUCUCUCCACUGUUUUAACUCCUUUGCUUCAUUAUAAUCCCAAGGUUCUUCGUUUAUUACCAUCAAGAGACGUUCACUUUCGAUUUUGGACAAUAAAACAUAAUCCGCCAAAUGCUUGGUUUUUGUUUUGGUCUUGUCGACUCCUGUAACUCUGGCUGGGAAUCUUGUUCUUCUUCAACAUCAACAUCAACAUUGAUAUCGACUUCUUCAUCAAGGGAACCGGCUCUCCCUUCCGAAGCUUUGUCUUCAUCUUCAUCCUCAUCGCUUAUUACUUGUUCGUCAUCAAUUUCAGCAUGUUGAUCUCUUAUUCCAUUUUUACCAAACUCUCCAAAGCUUAUAGUAAACAUUCCAACAUCUAAACUUGUCUCCUUUCCUGCACUGUUCCAUGACCAGCUUUUACUUUCAUCAAAGAUAACAUCCUUGCUAACCACCACUUUUCUAUUUGCUGGAUCCAACAGUCGCUAGACUUUAGAUUCGGGUUCUGUUCCACGGUGUACUAACAUUUGUGAUCUGUCAUCGAGCUUCUUUAGAUGAUGAGUGUCUAUCUUUGCAUAUAAAACGCAGCCAAACACACGUAAGUGAUCAAUCUUUGGUUUUCUUCCUUCAAAAGCUUCAUAUGGGGUUUGCGUGAUCAAUACUCUUGUUGCAACCCUGAUAAUGAGAUAAGUAGCAUGCCUUACCGCUUCUCCCCAAAGAUAGUUAGGCAUGUUCAUAUGCUUCAAGAUACUCCUAGUUAUCUCUAGUAACGUUCUGUUGCGACGCUCAACAACUCCGUUUUGUUGAGGAGUAUAAGGCGCAGUCAAAUGUCUUGUGAUACCCACAUUGUCGCAAAACGUUUUAAACUCAUGAGAUGUGAACUCUCCUCCCCUAUCUAUGCGGAAUGUUUUGAUGACAGCCCUUGUUUCUUGUUCCACCAACGUCUUGAAAUUCUUGAAUCUACCGAAUGCAUCACUCUUUUCUUUCAAGAGAAGUGACCACAUGUAACGAGAGUGGUCAUCAAUCAAGACAAAAAUAUAUUUCUUCUGUCCAGCCGUAGAGGGUGUGAUUGGUCCACAGAUGUCUCCAUGUACAAGUUCCAGUAACUUAGAUGCACGAAACGAUGUUGCUUGCGGGAAUGAUUGCCUUGUUUGCUUUCCAAGCAAACACGAGGCACAUGUUUCUUUCUCGAUUCGUAUAUUUGGUAAUCCAAGAACAAGCCCUUUCUUCACCAUUGCCUUCAUUGUUUCAAUAUUCACGUGUCCUAGUCGUGCAUUCCAUCUCGUUGAUUCACUUGAUGUUGUUAGUUGUAAGCAUCUAGGAGAGUCCGAGAUCUUCAUAAGCACUUUGUAUAAACGAUUUUUUGAUCGAUUUUCUUUCACCAUCAAGACUCCAUUCUUAUCAUGCAAUAUCAGAACAUCGUCUCGCAUCCUUACAUCACAUAUGGCUUUUGUAGCUUGCCCAAGGCUUAUAAUGUUGCUCUUUAACCCUGGGAUAAAGUAAACAUAAGCCAUUACUUUCUUGUUUCCAUCCUUGUUAAUGAAGAGAACAUAGCCCUUUCCUUUGAUGUCAAUGCGCGAGUCGUCAUCAAACUUUACUUUGCCCGUAACCGUGUCAUCAAUCUCAGCAAAAUACUCACGAUUUCCGAACAUAUGAUAUCUUGCUCCAUUGUCCAAGUACCAUACAUUGAUGUCAUCAGAUUCGGUUUCAAACUCAUUUGGCUUCAGGUUUUGUUCAUUAAGAUAGACAACUUCAUGUAUCAUUAGUUCCUCGGUUUCUUUGGUAGCAUCCUCAUCGUUCUCUAUGGCUUCUUGGAGUUUAAGUAACCUGUCAGGACAAUUUGAUGCAUAAUGUCCCAAUUUUUCACACCGAAAGCAUACCACCUUGGAUGUAUCACAUUCUUGUUUAUUCCCUCCUUAGCAUUCUCGUCCUCUUCCUCUACCAUAAGACCGACCACCUUGUCCUCUACCUUUUCCUCCUGAACCAUAGUUCCCUUGAUAAGAUUGUGAAUCGAUAUUAGCAUACAUCAGCUUGCUUUGGUCAUUGGAUGUUUCUUCUACUUCUUCUUCACCAAUACGUUCUUCAUAAGUUUUCAACCUCCCUACUAUGUCUUCAAAGCUUGUAGUGUUGAGGUCAAGAAAUUGUUCAAGCGAAGCAGUGAUGUGUAUGAAUUUCUUCCUAGGUAAACUCAUGAGGAACUUCUUAAGAAGUUUUUGUUCAUCGAUGGGUUUUCCUAAUGUUGCGGCUUUGGUAGAUGAUUCCGAAAGUUUCCCGACAUAACCAUCAAUGGUAUCUGUGUCUUUCAUCUUUAGCUUCUCAAACUCAGCCAUGAGGGUUUGAAGUCGAGCUUCUUUGACUCUAUAUGCGCUAACGUAUCAUGCUUUGAUGGCAUCCCACAUGGAUUUGGAGGUAUUGAGAUCACCGACUUGUAAUAUCAAGGUUUCAGGUAUGGACUGGAAUAAGAGUGCUCUCGCCAUGUCAUCCUUCUCUCCCUCGACGGUGCCUGGUUUGAUGGCAUCCUAUGAAAACGUAUAGAGAAACACACAGACAGUUACGCUUGGAACGCGCCAAGCAAACGCUUUUUCCUUCGAUAUUUAUUAACAAAAUUUAUCUUUUCCUAGGAUACAAUUUUGUCUCGCCUCUUACUCAAUCUAUUCCUCCCAAUAGAAUUGAACCCGACUAAAGAACGAGCACUAAAUCUAUCUCUCCUACACCCGUGUAGUCCCAAAAGAAAACAAACACUCACCUUCUAAGCUUUUUGUUUUGCUAUCUUCGAAGUUUACAAUCACGUACAAAGAGUCUAAAGUGUUCAAAGUGGCUCGUGGCCAACCCUAGACUAUUUAUACUAACUACUCAAAACCCUAACCCUAGGAUCUUCGAGGAUUUCACCGAAAUGGAAUAUGCUUGCUUGUCAAGCUCAUCCUUUCCUUAUUUGAUGUGAAGAAUAUUCACAAUAUCUUCACAAUAUCUUCACACGCAAUUCGUCUCUAUCUUUGCUGCAAAGCAAGAAAUCUUCCUUAGCACGUCACUCCAUCCACUUAAGCUUUGCCACGUCAUCCUACGACUCCAUGUCAGUAACUUCAAGUGUCUGAUGUGAUCACAGGCGUCUGAUGUGAUCUCAGGCGUCUGAACAGAUGCAGCUUCCUGAUCUUCACAGCAAGCUGUUCUGGAACUGCAUCUUCAAUCUCCCCCUUUUUGACUUAGUUUGAUAAUCAAGCAUCCUUUGUGAUAAACCUGAAAGUCACAAAGAGACAAAACCAAAACACAGCAACAAGGCAAACAUCUAGUAAUAUAACUAGCAUAAAUCCCAAAAAUUAGAAAUCCUAAAAUGCCAUGUUUAAACAUAUUACAGACCCAAAAGCUAAGAGCUAAUGAAACAAGGUUCUGUAAUCAAAAUACAUUGUUGCUAACAACAACAACCGCAACUGCUCCCCCAGGACAAAUGCUCCCCCACAAAUCAACCAUUCCUAUGAUCAUCAGAAUCAGAAUCAUCUCCCCCUGCUUGUUUGCACAACUAAGUAAAAAACAAGUAACUUAUGGAUCACAUGAAUGACAGAUUGAAAGAAGAAACACUUACCUUCAUCGAUGAUACGCUGCAUGAUCUGAAUUGCACGACGCAAAGCCUUGCGAUCAUCUGAAGAUCACACUGGAACCUCAGCAGUCUGUCCUCUCUUAGCUUUGCCCUUCUUGUUGGACUUUGGCACUGGCUGAGAUACAUCCGGAUGCACAGGGUGCUGUGACUGGAUCAGCUGAUAAAUCAAACUGGGAAACGGCAGGCACAACUUUGAGACAGGGGUCAGACCCAAGUUGAUGAUCAGCUUAAAGACCAUCCUCCCAAAAUCAAAUGGCUCCUGAUGCAUCACCUUGUAGACCAAUUUGGCUCUGUCAGGAGUGACAUACCCAUCAUUGGUGGUAGGCAGCCAGUUGGUACAACAGAUCUUGAGAAGAUCUUUCGUGUUGUUGUCCUCAACCUUAGACAAUUGGAACUGCUUGAAGACCUUGGCUUUACCUCCAGACACAAAGAGAGCUAUGUCUAAGGUAAUCACUUCAGCCAUAUGCCGUUGUUCUGUACGUUCAUCCACAGAUGCAAGACCAAACAGAGCAUUGAUCCUGUCAGGAGUAAACUCAUACACCCAAUUCUGAACCAAAACUUCUGUUGAAUCUGUCUCUGGCUCAACAGUUGGCAAAUUCGCCCAAAAUUCAUACACAACUUGGGGAUCAAAGGGCUUACUCUCAGAUACAGUUCUAAGCAGACCCACAGCAUUUAUCAGUUCCCUAACCUCAUCAAUCUCACCAAAAGUGGUGUUCACCUCAGCAUGCAAUUUCCGAGAAGUAAAAGAACCAUACAUCUGAAAUGCAACGACAGACCCGAACCGAGUUUGAUCGAAUUCCACUGAAUGUUCGUCUUUCACAACUGGUCCUUUUCCUCAUGCGGACGAACGUCGCUUCUUCUGCUCAGACGGCAUCGCACUCGUCUGCGCGCGCUUCAGUACCCGAGACGAGACAGACAGCCCUGUAGUUCCGGUCACUUGAACCGACUCGGAACCAUCGGAGAUUUCUUCAAUCAGCAGAUCGGGGAUCGGAUUGCAAAGUUCAAUCGGCUGAGAUCUUUGGGGGUUAGCCGAAGAGUCGCAGUCUCCAUCAACAGCCAUCGGAGAUUUGGGAAUCGGAAGCGACUCAAUCUCUUGGUUCUCGGAUUCAAGAAGAAUAACCGAAUACGGAACCAACUGAUUGUUGGGUUCCGUCGCCUCAGAAUUCUGUGGGCUGGGGACCCGUUCUUCGUCAGUCGGAGAUGGCUGUUUCGUCCGAGAAGACUGUUCUGGCAGAGGCGUAUCGGGCUCCGGCGACUGCCUUGACACAAGCUUCUGGAUUCCGCUGAAAGUGGACCUCAUGAUGAAUUUCUUGCUCGAUUUAGGGUUUUGAACUCGUGGACUUGAGAGAGAAAAGAACAAUGAGCAAUCUCGAAACUUUUCAACUUCCACGACUAGGUUUUAACCCUAGUUUUUCCCUCCUAAACACGCUUAUCAACAUCAUGGGCUUUAAAAACAAAUGGGCCUCGCUGAUAUAACUUUAAUAACCCACGAACCUGAAACACUUAAUAAACCCAUUAGUGCACACUUAUCAACCAAGCCUUAAAUCCGAUUUUCAACCCAUUUUUUUUUCACAUUCUUGAGUUCAAAAACAGAACCUCAAAUAACUUUCUCUUAUAAAGACUCAAUUUACUCAUGAACAUGCUUUAGGGACCUAGAAUGAUAAUUAACAUGUGAGUACUUGGAAGUAUUAUCAUAAAAUUAUUCAAAAACAUGUACCUUGAGUCUCUCUCUCGUCUGUGUUAUGUGCUAACCAUUUGUUCAGGACAGAGCUAGAAGCUACCACAACCUUCUGAAUCUUUGACAGAUCAGCUCUGAGUUCAGUGGCUAGUCUUUCACUCUGGCAUACCUUCAACUCAAGCUUCCAAACCCAACAUGAACAGGCAGCUGGAAUACCCUUUGGAGAGUGCAGGACCAGGAGUGUGUUAAACCCUUUUUUUUUUUUUUUUACUAUAUUUUUUUUCUCAUUUUUUUUUCUUUUUUUGUUUAACACACUACAUGUGGAGCUAUGAUUUAACAGUCAAGCAGAGCCUUUUCUCAGAAUGUUGUUUUUUGACCAAGCCUCUGUUAAACCUUCUGAUUUGUGGAUCAGUGAUAUCACUUGACUUCUCAACCACUGAUCCUUGUGCAUGUCUUCAAUAGCAUAUUAAGAGCUCCAUUAAUAGAGUACUGGAAUUGACUUAUUGAUGUAUCACAAUUCCAAGUACAUCUCGUGACAUGCACACUUCCACCCUCCUCAGCUCUUUGACCUCCGUUAUCACGACAACGUUUUACAGGAAUGUCAACAAGAGUUGGCAUGACAGGCAGCUAUUUUCCACUCUCUUUAAACCGAAGUACAGGGUGCUGAUCUUCUAUUCAUUCUUAGGAUUUCCAUGGUCUGUUCUUGCUCCAGUCCCUGUCUUAAAUCAGCACAACUCACAGAGAAAGUUAGAUCUCACAAAUCCCAAUGGAUUUUCUCAGAUUCACGAAUCUGUUAAAAUCCAAUGGUUUAGUAACAAAUCAGCCAGUUGAAAUUCUGUACUCACAUGAUCAACCACAAUCAGUUUCGCCUCAACAAGUUCACGAAUAAAAUGAUGCCUAAUAUCAAUAUGCUUAGUACGUGAAUGUUGAACAGGAUUCUUAGCUAUGUUGAUUGCACUUUGGUUAUCACAACGAAUUAAAAGAGUUUCAGAAUCCAUACCAUAGUCAGCAACCAUUUGUUUCAUCCACAUGAGUUGAGUGCAGCAGCUUCCCAGUGCAAUGUACUCGGCUUCUGCUGUUGACAGAGAAACACUGUUCUGUUUCUUGUUGUGCCAUGAAAUCAGGUUGUUGCCCAUGAAUAAACAUCCACCACUUGUGCUUCUACGAUCGUCCAAUGAACCAGCCCAAUCAGCAUCACAAUAGCCUGUCAAGCUCCUGGUUGUAUCCUUGGUGUAGUAUAUCCCAAGAUUUAUAGUCACCUUGAUAUACUUGAUGAUCUUCUUAACAACCAACAAAUGAGACUUCUUUGGUUUGGCUUGAUACCGAGCACAAAUUCCAACAGAUAAACAGAUGUCUGGUCUGCUGGCAGUUAAGUACAGCAGACUCCCGAUCAUUCUUCUGUAAACUCGUUCAUCAACAUCCUCUCCUGCGUCAUCCUUUGAGAGCUUGUCAGUCACACUCAUUGGAACCUUCGCCUCUUUACUCUUAGCGAGACCAAAACGUUCAACUAGAUUCUUGGCAUAAGUGCUUUGUGAAACAAAUAUUCCAUCAGCUGAUUGUUUCACUUGCAGCCCCAAGAAAUAGUUUAACUCCCCACACAUGCUCAUUUCAAAUUCUUGAGUCAUGUUCUUCACAAACUGAUCAAAUAGCGGCUGACAUGUGGAUCCAAAGACAAUGUCAUCAACAUAUAUCUGAACAAACAUCACACUAUUGUUAUCUUGAAACACAAACAGCGUUUUGUCUACAUUCCCACGCACAUAUCCUUGUUUGAUCAGAAAUGUUGUCAGACGCUCGUACCAAGCUCUUGGAGCCUGUUUCAGUUCGUAGAGAGCCUUCUUUAGCUUGUACACAUGAUCAGGGCGCUGAGGAUUCUCAAAUCCUUUAGGUUGCUCUACAUACACUUCUUCUUGGAGAAUUCCAUUUAGAAAGGCACUCUUAACAUCCAUCUGAUGCAAUAUGAAAUUCAGAGCACAUGCCAUGCAAAACAGAAACCUGAUGGACUCCAGUCUUGCUAUAGGAGCAAAGGUCUCGUCAAAAUCAAUGCCUUCUAUCUGAGAGUAUCCUUGAGCAACCAACCGCGCCUUAUUGCGAACAAUACAUCCAUGCGCAUCACUCUUGUUUUUGAAGAUCCACUUAAUCCCCACAACAUUGACAUCAGCUGGUCGUUGUUUGAGCUCCCAGACAUCACUUCGUUCAAACUGCUCUAGUUCAUCUUGCAUAGCAGCAAUCCAGUAUUCGUCAACAAGAGCAUCUCUGUGAUUCUUGGGCUCCAGGGUUGAAACAAAGCAAGCAAACUGCACAACCGCCGCCAUCUGUGGAACUUCAGCAGCAACAUUCUUCUGCUUCUGACCAGCGAGUUGCUUGAAGUCAAUCUUCUUUCCUCUAGUAACUCUGCCCCCCUGAAUCGUACCUAUAAUAUCAUUAGAGGUGUGAUUCUUAUGCACCUGAGGAGUAGAUAGAAGCUCAGCCGUGUCUUCAUCGGCCUCGGAGCCAUCAUCAACUUCCUGCUCUGGACUUGGUUCAUACCCCACAACUCUUUCAUUGAAAUCCUUAGGAGCAUUAGUUACUGAGGACACAUCUUCAUAAACACGAAAAGACGCAUCAUCAAACACCACAUUAACAGUCUCUUGAACCAUCCUGGACCGUUUGUUGUAAACUCGGUAGGCUGUGCUGUUGCCUGAGUACCCCAGAAACAGGCCUUCGUCGCUCCUAGAAUUAAACUUGCCCAGUUGAUCCUUGUCAUUAAGGAUAUAGCACAUACAUCCGAAAACAUGGAAGUAGCUGACUGAUGGUGUUUUUCCUUUCCACAGCUCAUAAGAGGUCUUGUUGGUUCCUUUCCUCACAUAGACCCGAUUGAUGAUGUAACAUGCUGUGUUUAUUGCUUCAUCUCAGAAAUGUUGAGCUACUUGAUUACCAUGCAGCAUAGCUCUAGCCAUUUCUUGCAGCGUUCUGUUCUUUCGCUCUACAACUCCAUUCUGCUAAGGUGUGCGAGGAGCAGAAUAUUGGUGAGUGAUCCCUUGAGCAGCACAAAACUGAUCAAACAACUCAUUCUGGAAUUCACCACCAUGAUCACUUCGUACUGUCUUGAUUCCCCAUUUUUCACUCUUGAGUUGCAGUGCAAGAAUUCUGAAACUAUCAAGAGUAUCCGAUUUCUCUCGUAGAAAACGGACCCAUGUGUAGCGCGUAAAAUCAUCAACCAUAACAAGAAUAAAACGCUUACUUGUCAGACUUUGGACACGCAUUGGUCCCAUUAGGUCCAUGUGAACCACUUCCAAAGCAUGAACAACACGAACAUCAGGAACCGAUUUGUGAGCAACCUUCACUUGUUUGCCCUUGUUACACGGUCCGCACACAAAGUAAAGAUCAACCUUUAGCGUUGGCAUUCCUCGAACUACCUCCUGAUGUGCAAGUCUCAGCAUCGUACAAACAUUCAGAUGUCCUAAUUUUUUAUGCCACAACUCAGUUUGAAAGUCUACAGCUGCUUGAAAGCAAGGGUUACCAGAACUCCACAUGUAACAAUUGUUGCCAGACCGCUGUCCCUCGAGUUGAACACGUCCUAGACGAUCCACAGCCUUGCAGUUGGCCUUGGUAAAAGUUACAUCCAGACCCUCAUCACACAGUUGGCUGAUGCUAAUCAGAUUGGCGUUCAGUCCAUCAACCAGAAACAUAUCAUGUAAUCUUGGUUGAGAUUCACCACCUGUGGUAUCUUUUCCUCUGAUUUUUCCUUUUGCACCAUCUCCAAAAGUAACUCUGCCUGCUGAAACCUGUUUAAACUCUGACAGAUUGUCUUGAGCUCCAGUCAUGUGUAUUGAGCAUCCACUGUCAAAAUACCACUUCUCCUGAGUUGACUCCUGUUCAUCAGCAGUGUAAGCAACAUUGCAGUACAGAUCUUCCUUUCUUAUGUAGACUCUGCUCGUAUUCUUUGAAUCCCUGUGAUAUUGCUGAUGCUGCAUCAUUGCAGACACACGAUUCAAAAAUCCAUAGCAUUGUGCCUUGUAGUGAUUCAGAUUACCACAGUACCAACAACCUGUUCUUCUGCUACGGUGAAGACGAAACACAGAACCGUACGCUGACUGAACCUGUUCGCGAGAAGCCAUUCUUGAUUUUCGACCGUGAGCUGAUUGUUCCUAAUUAAAUGAGGACACAACAUGUCUCUGAUUUUUCUGAGGAACAGACUUCCUUUGAGUAGCUUCUGCUGACUGCGGAGCUGCCUUAACAAACUUAGUUGUACCAUUGAAGUUUCCACCUUGAUACCCUAGACCCCAGUUGACAUUAGCCGUUCGUCCCACAGUUAGGAGUUUGUCCAGAUCUUUAGUCCCUUUGCUCAGCAUCUUGAUGUUCCUGAGUUGAUCCUCCAACUGCCUCUCAAGACCUUGCGACUUGACUUUCUCAGCUUCAAGAUCCUUGGAUAUCACAGAAACUUUCAAUUGAAGUUCAUUUCUUUCGGUGGUUAGAUCAGAGAUCUCCUUUGUCUUGUUCAUCAGACUCCUGAUCAAAAGAGCAACUUGUUCUUCAGUUGGAAGAUUUGCUUCAUCAUCCUCUGAUUCAUCACCAACUACCUGAUUGACAUCCUCUUGAGCUGUCACACCAACACUCUCAUCGCCUUCCUCAAUGAUGCCCAAAAAUGCCACAAAAUUGUUUAGCACUUCUCCUUUUCCUUCAUCUUCAUCAGUAUCACUCUCACUCCAAGUCACAUACGAUUUCUCUUUGGAGUCUCUUCCUAGGCAUUCAGCCUUGGUGUGACCAUAGCCCUUACACUCAUAACAUUUCAGUGCAUUUUUCUUCUUCAUAUUCGGGCAUUCAGCCUUGAAGUGUUCAUAGCCUUCACACUCAAUACACUGUUUCUCAGACUUAUCACUCCUCUUGAAUUCUUUCUGUUGCCCUGAUCUGUUGUUGACUGCAGACCCACGUUGCUGACCUCGCUCCAUUUUCUUGAAGUACUUUCUCACAAGCAUACCAACUUUAUCAUCAUCUGCAGAUUCCUGAGUGUCAACAGUAUUCAGUGCGAAAGUUUUUCCACUCGCCUGCUCUUUUUUCUUAACUUGUAGCUCAUAUGCCUGCAUCAUCCCAAAUACUUGAUCGAAUUUCAACUCAUCAGAAUUCAACGAGAUAUCAAUUGCAGACCUAUGUGGCUGAAACUUCUCUGGCAGACUUCUGAGAAAUUUUUUAACCAACUUCUUAUCUUUAUAGCGUUUUCCCAACACUAUAGCCUCUUGAGAGAUGUUACUCAGCUUGCUGCUGAAUUCUUCAAUAGUCUCACUAUCUCCCAUAGUCAAGUUCUCGAAGUCAGAUGCUAAGAUGUCAAGUCUGGUUCUCUUCACAUUGCUGGUUCCUUCGAAGGUGACCUGAAGGAUAUCCUAUGCCUCUUUUGCAGAUUCACAUCCCUGAACUCUGGUGAACUGAUUUACAGGCAGCGAUUUGAAGAUUAAGGACAGAGCUGUUGCGUUGUGUUUUGCUGCAAGUUUCUCCUCUGCAGUCCAAUCCUUCUUGGGUUUCGAAACAGCAUCUCCAGCCUCAUUUGUUUUCACAGGGGCUGUCCAUCCAUCUUCAACAGCUAUCCAGGCAUCAAGAUCAGCACUCUGAAUAUCCUGUCUCAGCUGCACCUUCCAGAACCCGUAAUGUUCUGGAUCUAACUUAAACGGCUUAGUUAUAGCAACGUAUUGCUGUGAUUUCUCCAUACCCUCUGUUGCAGGAUCUCACCUGUUGAAAAGAUAAACAGAUCUUUUAUCAGGCGUCCGCUCUGAUACCAAAUGAAAACGUAUAGAGAAACACACAGACAGUUACGCUUGGAACGCGCCAAGCAAACGCUUUUUCCUUCGAUCUUUAUUAACAAAAUUUAUCUUUUCCUAGGAUACAAUUUUGUCUCGGCUCUUACUCAAUCUAUUCCUCCCAAUAGAAUUGAACCCGAAUAAAGAACGAGCACUAAAUCUAUCUCUCCUACACCCGUGUAGUCCCAAAAGAAAACAAACACUCACCUUCUCAGCUUUUUGUUUUGCUAGCUUCGAAGUUUACAAUCACGUACAAAGAGUCUAAAGUGUUCAAAGUGGCUCGUGGCCAACCCUAGACUAUUUAUACUAACUAUUCGAAACCCUAACCCUAGGAUCUUCGAGGAUCUCACCGAAACGGAAUAUACUUGCUUGUCAAGCUCAUCCUUUCCUUAUUUGAUGUGAAGAAUAUUCACAAUAUCUUCACAUGCAAUUCGUCUCUAUCUUUGCUGCCAAGCAAGAAAUCUUCCUUAGCACGUCACUCCAUCCACUUAAGCUUUGCCACGUCAUCCUACGACUCCAUGUCAGCAACUUCAAGUGUCUGAUGUGAUCCCAGGCGUCUGAUGUGAUCUCAGGCGUCUGAACAGAUGCAGCUUCCUGAUCUUCACAGUAAGCUGUUCUGGAACUGCAUCUUCAUCCUACACUUUGUGCACCUUGAUAGCAACCUUCAUACGCAUAGCCCAGACGGUGUAGUUGGUGACUAUGAGCAUCAGACAUUGAAUAGAAGACGGGUUGUUCUCCUUGGUUUAGCCACGACAAUAUCACCCAUAUUGUGAAUCUCAAGCGAAACAAUUCAAGUUCUAGUAUGCUCUGAUACCAAAUCUAGAACUCAUGAACUCAAAUUUUAGAGAUCAAAGAUUGAAUAUAGAAGACUCUUUCUUUUAUUGCUUCAGAAAUUACUCAAAACUAAAGCUCUCUUACAAUCUCUCAAUCUCUUAGUGUAGGUCAUAACUGAACCUCUCUAUUUAUAUUACAAAACCUUAAGAUAUUUCCUAUUAUAACAACGAAAUAUUACUUCUCUAAAACUUCCUAAUCCUAAUCCAUAACUCGGUAGGAUUAACACUUAGCUUGCACCUCAAGCUAUCUUUAACCUUUUCAAACUUAGCUUAACAGGACCCACAGUGACAUUGUCAGGACCUAGGGUGUUGAUGACAACGACAGGGAUAGGAACACCGUCGACGAUGGGUCUCACAGUUACCAUGAUAACUGAUAUAAGAGGAGCGACCAUAGGGAAAAGUGAGAUGACACUGAAUCAUACAGUGACAAUUGGGCCUAAUUAAUCAACAAUUUUGAUGUAAAUAACAACAAAACAGAGGUAAUAUGAAUAUACUUGUGUACUAUAUGGAUGCCCAUUAUAAGAUCAUUAGAAUAUUCUAGGAUACUUUAUCCAUUAUCUAAACCCUAAUGAUGUAUCCCUAUAUAUAUGUUGUACUUUAUUAUAUAGAGUAAUAACAAGAGAAGGAUUCUCGUAAACCUCUUGUUCUUAACACGUUAUCAGCACGAUAUAACAAUAUGGCUAAUAUUUCCUCCAAAGAUUCAAAAGUAAAAAACAAAAAAAAAAUGUUAAUUAUUGUGUUGAUGUAUUGAUUGGUACUACCAUAUGUGUCUUACAAGAGUAUUCGAGUAUUUUAAAAAGUAAUUUAAAGCAAUGCUUACUAAUAAAAAAUGUUCAUGCGAAAAACUAAUUUAGAAAAAGAAAAAAAAAGAGAUUACAAGGGUAACUAAAUUAAAAAAUCUAAUUAAACAUAUUCAACUAAAAACCAAUAUUAUAUAUCAAACAAAAAUUUUAUAAAAAUAACCUGAUUCACUUGUCCUCAUCACUGUCGAUGCCAUACGAGUGACUUAGAGAUUCAAGUCCCUUUACAUUCUUCUUGGGGAUUAUGCAAACAGAAGAGAUUUGUCUUGUUCGAGAUUUACCAAAAUCACGUCUCUUAAAACUCUUCUUCUUCUUCUUCUCAUCAAACACCUCAUAGUUUUUGUCUUCAUCUUCAUCAUCAACCCUAGUGAUCCGCUUACCAAAAUUUAUAGACUUGAUGAGCAACUCUUCCUCCACGUUCUCUUCUUCUUGUUUUCUUCUUCUACUCAAAGCCUCAAGCAUUGAGUCUACGCUCACCGAGGCUCGUCUAGACUUCAUAGACUUAACCUCAUCAAGCGCAGCCAUAACUUCCAUCUCUCUUUUAGAUACCACACUUCUCCUCUCUAAAGACUCCAAUGCGUUUUCUUCAGUUUCCUUCUCCUCUUUAACCUUAUCGUGUCCAUUAUAAAGACAAGUUGCACCUGAUUCUACAGUAUAACCAUGGUUCUUUGGAUCGGUCUUAAUUGUCACCUCUGCCAAACAUCUUGUGCACUUUAUGUAAAACCUAAAUAUUUUAAUGCCUACGUGCGUCUCGUUGAUGACGUCUUCCUCACGGCAAUUGAAUUUGGUGCCUUGUGACAUGUAAUUACCACAUGUAUUACAUCGAACACGAACUGGUAGCAUAAACCUAAUCUUUUUCUGCUGGUUCUUUGGUUUCUGGAGUCGAGGUAUCUUGCUCGGAUCAAAGUCUGGCGAGUAGUACUUGUUUAGAUUUUUGCGUUCUCCCAUAAGUACUUCAGAGACAAGAAACACACACACGAAGAAGAAGAGUCCAACUUCUAUCUCUUGAUAUAUCUCUCUUGCUCUUUCUCUACUUCUCUCUUUGUAUUUUCUUGUUUAGAUGAUCCUUAAAGGUUAGGGCCUUAUGGGACGUCCUCCUUAUAUAGAGCCACAGCUUCUAUAUAUGUUUUUCUUUUCUGAGAUAUAUUCUAUUUCCUUAUUCUUUGAUAAGUCUACCUUUUUUUUCGGAAUCGUUACAUAUUUUCCUUUUUCUCGAAGGUCGGUGUUGAGCUUAUCGAAAACAUAUAGUGUUUCUUUUGAAAAGCCUAUUUUUUAAACAAUAAAAUGUAUUAAAACUGAUUAAUCAUAGUUAAUCAUAUAUUAUUGUAAACUAUAUCUCUAUAUAGGUAUGAAGAUCAAACCAAAAGAAGAACAAAGAGGAAACAAGAACUAGAGAGAAUGGAGAAGAUCUCAUCUUAUUAUCUUUCUCAUGAGCUUACAUAAGAGUAGCUAAGAUCAUCUAUUUAUAGUAUUACAAGAUUGUCCAAGGAGGAUGUAUGACCAAGGGAGAUGUAUGACCAAGGGAGAUGUAUGUAUAAGGGAGAUGUUUUCUUUAGUGAUUAAGUAAUGCAUUCAUCACAUGUUUAUCACAUGUUUAAAACAUGUUUUAUAACAUAUAUGACUUCAUAUAGGGUUUGGGGUAUAGGUUUAAGAUUUGGGGUUAAGUUUUGAUAAAAAUAUAAGAUUUGAGAAACUAUAAUUUUUCUUAAGUGUUAGAUCUCAGUUUUUGGAUAUAUUCUAGUAAUUUUGAAUUUCUUACAAGAUACAUAUAUAUGAUGGUUAUGUUUUGAAAACUUUUUUUUUGAAAGCUUUUUUUUAGGCUUUAUGAAUUAUUUUUUUAAAGAUUAAUAAUUGAAAGUUCAAGAUUUAAAGGCUAUGAUUUAGGUUUGAGCUUAAAAUUUGAAAAUUUUGAUUUUCUUAAAUAGCGACUAAUAUGCAACUGUUUAGCGACUUUUACCACAACUCGCAUAUUAGUCGCUAAAUUGGCGACUAUUUAGCUACUAUGUGUCCUACUAUGCAAUAUAGUCGUUAAGUAGUCGCUAAAUUAGCGAUUAUUUAGCUACUAGUUUUUUUGCUAUGCAAUAUAGUCAUAAAGUAGUCGUUAAGUUACAACUAACAUACCGACUACUAUUUGUAGUCGCAAAAAUGUGACUCAUAUAUGACUAAAUAUUUGUAGUCGUAAAAUUGUAGCUAUAUAGUCGCUAUGUAGUCGCCAAAAAUAUACAUAGUCGCCAUCUGUAGUCGGAAAAGCAUGUUUUCUUGUAGUGUGCCCUCUUAACUAAUCAAUCAAAGUUUACCACAUAUCUAACUAAAUGAACUAAAUAUUAAUAAAUAAUUUAUCAUUCAAUACAAUAUCCAACUUGUUGUUCAAUUAUCAUUACCAAAACCAUAUACAAAAUAUAAAACACCCAGACAAAUAAUAAAUUGUAUAGAAUAAUAGAAAUGAUAUAUGAAGAGAUAUACAUUAUACUAUAAAUCAUACAAUCAAACAUGAUUAGUUUACGAACCUAGACCAGCAAUGUACGUGACACCAGUUGAUGGUAACCAAAGGUUCCCUUGUAUGAAUUGAGCUACCGUAAAGUUAUUAGCCUCGGUCGAAUUAUUCAAUACAUGGUAUCCUGGCCACUUAACACGGCGGUCUAGACUAGCCCCCGGUCCGGUAUUCAUAUACUCACCAUAAUAUAAUGUAUCCAAUGCAAAGUCCCCGCUCCAUUCGAGCCAUCCUUCCGGCCUAAGUGCAUCACUUAUGUAGUUUUGCAUAAACACCGUUCGAGAAUACAACUUCCACGGUCGACCCAAGUAAGUAGCCGUGGUACUUAAGUGUGGAACUAGAUCGGUAUCAGCCGUUAUGUUGCUGAACUGGAUUGUGAAUCCACUUGGUUCGUUUGGAUCUUUACGUCCUUGAGCUGUGAUGCUGUUCUUUUGGUUUGGUAGGCCUUGUUUGGCUUUGAUUUGGCAGUUUUGGAAUAUGGCUGUUGCAUCUCCGAAUAUAAAGUCUACGGUUCCUGUUAUAAUGCAUUCUCUAAAGAAUUGACGCAUUGAGUGGGCGUAAAGAGUAUCUUGGUAACCUUUCAUCGCGCAUCGAUAAUAGACCCCGAGAUCUGUAUCCGACCGUAGUGCGACUGCUUGGUGCUUUUCCGGUCCGGCCGUGUUUUGGAAUGUUAUAUCACGAGCAAUAAAUCCUCUACCGCUCACAGCUGCAAAACAAAUUUUAUAACCAAUUCAAAAUCUUCUUGAAUAGUAAAAGAAACCUUGCAAGAUAGAAUACUACUAUUUUUGGUUCAACUAUAUAAAUUGAUAUUGCAAUAUAUUUUGAAAUAGAAAAUAUAAAUCCUAAGUCUUAUUUAGUUUUACUUUGGGUUAUAUCCUUGAUAUGAUUAGAUUAGUAUACUGGAUAGAUUAAUUUCUAGAUAAAUUAUGUGAAAAACGCUUAAAUCUUUUUUACUAACCAAAGGUAGCAGAUCGGAAAGUAGUCCAGCCAUCGAUAAAACUCCGAUUACCGGUGAUCACGGUGACAUCAAUGCCGUCACCAACCAUCAUAAUGUUCCAUUUCUUCUUUUUGAUCUCCACAUUCUCCGCAUAUACACCUCCUUUCACAUGUAUCACAUAUCUUUUCUUACUAUACUCCGGUGCGGCCAACACCGCGUCACUUAUCGUCUUGAAAUUCCCGGUCCCAUCCGCGGCAACAACCGCGUCAGCCGCCACUUGUGAGCCAUCAGUUUGCAGCAACUUCCGAUCACCGGGUUUAACCCAUGAAGGAAACUUACUGAAGCCACUAUGAAUUGUGGUCGUCGUGUGGGCUUUCAUGGGCUUGGAUUUGGGCUUAGAGGGAGGAGAGUGAACCAUGGUUAGUAAAUUUCGGACUGUUGAACUGACCCGGUUAAGACCACCGGCCACGACUUUUCUGAUAAAACCAUUUGUCCCCUCGAAGCCGUCGAGACAUGUGUCCUGGUCAGAAAGUGCGGCGCUUAUCCAUGUCCGUAGAUCCGAACCCAAGUCACCUGUGCUGUUGUCUUUACCUGACAGUGACAGUGUAAUGUACUUCAUUAUUAUUCCAUUCAUUUACAUUUUACUUCUUACAUAAUCGUACAUAAUAAAUUGUUUUUAUAAUUAUUAUUUUUUAACUGAUAUUAUUGAUAAAAAAACAUCAAUAAUAAUAGCAUUUAAUCAGCGGAUAAUAAUUUAGAGUUAAUUUUUAAUUAUGUUUUGGUAGACUUAUUAGAUUUUUUAAUUUAUUGUGUAGUACUUUUUGUAUAUAAAUUUUGAUAAAGAAAGUUCUUUUAUUUUUUUUCUAAAAUCCCAAAUAAUUCGAAACACAUGCAUGUGAGUUGGCUACAUAAAACUAUAGUAUUUAAAAAUCGACAAUGUAAUUAAUUACGGACGUAUACAUUUCGUACUCAUAUUAGAAUAUCAAGAUCUGUUACAAUUUUUUUUUUUCUGACGUUUAUAUUCAUCUUUCAUCCUUUAAAGGUGCAAGAUUUCAAGAUUCUAUACCCACGUACGUCGAAGAUUAAUCACCGACGAUAAGAUACCAAAUCACUUUCUUCUUUAAAGCAAAAAAAAGUUCUGUGAAUCCGAUUCAGCAGAACAAAAGUCUUGAAAGUUAUCAAAUAUUUUGUAUCAUUAAAAAAAAAAAGUAAAAACAAAAAGGUUGGUUCGUGUCAAUUGAUGCUUAAUAAAUGGACUUUAGUAAUGAUACUUUUACUAGUUGAACAGUACUUAAUAGACUUAACUAAUACUUAAUAGUAGAACAAUUCUAAAUGCAAGUUAUCGCGAUUUUUUUAAACUUUUAACUUUUUAUUUAUUUUUGAAUAAUUGGUAUUUAUAAAAAAAAAUUUUAAUGUUAAAACGGAUAAAUUAGCACGAACUGCUCAUGAUACCGCAUUUUGUUUUGCAUGUAAACACAAAGUUUCUCUGGUUUGUGGUUACUAGAACCUUUGUAAUAAUAGAAGUUGUUGGAAAAAAAUUGAUAUUUGUAACUUUGUGUCUCAGUUUAUGUACGUUAUAAUCUUGUUGAACAUUGUAUCUUUUAGAAUUAUGUAACUAGUAUUUUAUAUUAUUUUUAAAGAUUCAAUGCUUGCAACACGAUUUUGCAUGCAAAGCAAAGAAAAAAGACUAGUAAGUGUAAAAAUAUAAAUUAAUACCGUUGGGGUUUAGACAUGCAGAGAUGAUCCAAGAAAGCUCUUCAGCGGCAGAAUCAAGAAGAUCAACGCAAUCAAGAAUCGCAUUGGAAACUCUCGACUUCCCAAUCUUUUUGUCGAACUUGGAGACUAUAUCUCCGGCUUUUUUGAUGGCAUCAAUGACGGUUUUGGCCGCUUCGGCGAACUCUGACGAAGGGACUCUUAAACACUCUAUUUGAACCAACCCUUUAGAAGAAACCACUUUGUGAGCGGAACAUAGAGAGAUGAUGGUAAGGAAGAGGAGCAAGAUCGAUGCUCCCACUUGAGGAAACUUUGCCAUAAUCUAGUUGGAUCUUAUAAAGAUAGAUGAAAUUGAAGAGUGUCUCUCGAACAGUCUAUGAAUGAACCAAAUUGAAGAGUUGAGGUGAGUGAUGUGUUAUGUUAUUUAUUUGUGUGUGUACAUGUGAGAGAGAGAGAGAGGGUAAUGGCUAAGGAAGAAAAAGAAGAUGACCUAGCCUUGCUUUUUAUACUAUUAGUUAAAUGGUUGAAAUUAAACCAGAAUUAUUGGAUUUUUUGGACAGCAACGAAAUGUUAAAGAGACUUUUGACAUAUGUUGAAAAUUUUGUCGGACCACAAUCUAUAUGUUUUGAUAUACAAACGUUACUGAUCAGACUUGUGGAUGCAAUUGUUUUGUUAAGCAAAAUUUUUCUCUUUUGAGGAGAACAAAGUCUUACAAUGAUAUAAAACCUAGUGAUUGUUAGCAUUAUUGUUGUUGUGUUAUCGUUUUGGAUUUAAAAGUCUGACUAAAACAUAUAACCUAAUCAUGUUUGUUAUCACUAUCAUUAUGUAAUCAUCAUAUCCAAAUUCAGACUAGCACACCAGUUAGAAAACAUUUUUUAAGACUAUUAUUGAACAUUUUGAUAGUUUUAUAUAUUUUGAUUUAACAAACCUAAUUAAAUUUAAUGAAAAUGAAAGAAAUAUAUCAUAGCUUGAGAUUGUUAUAUAUGCCUAGUCCAAACUCGUAUAUAUAUAUAUAAUCGAAAUCUUAUAAAAUUUUAAAAUCGUCGUCGCUUCGUCAAUUUUUUUUAACUGCAACGCAUUGGUCGAGACGAUAGACCAAAUUUUGUGCACUACAAGUCUAAUAGUUUAAUUUUUAAACUUUUUUUUUAACAAAAUAUAUACAUUCUUAAAAAAUAUAUAUAUAAGAAUUCUUUAUUUAUUACUCUAGAGCUAAACACAUGUACCAAAUUGGGUGUGGCAUAAAACAAAUGUGGACCAACCUUGCGAUGAAUUGAAUGAAACAAUUGUUAUCAAAAUGAAUUCAAAAACGAUGUGAGAUGUGAUCCUUGAAGGAAACUUGGAACAACCUUUAUCUACACGUCUCCUCUCAAACCAAUAUCCUCGUCGGUACUUAGCAUUGAUCAAAUGAUAACUGUUUUCUAUUUAAAAAUGAUAAUAUUAUCUUGCUAACAUACUGCAUCUUGCAUUAUACAAUACACAAAAACUAAAAAUAAUUAUAUGAAUAUAUUUUCUAAAACUUUUAAAGAAAAUUAUAGACUUGAACCACUUUUAUGUGAUGAUUCAAACACUAAUUAAGAGCAUAAUUGAAAUUGAAGAGAUGAUGUUAGAAUUCAAAAUGUUUUUGGAACAAAUUUUAAUGUAGUGUACUUUUCCGCCUAGAUAGAGCACAAGACCAUAGGUAAAUAAAUUUCAAUUGUGGUGUUUUAAGUUAUGUCAGUGUAUAGUGAUAACAACCAUGAAAUUUUAGGGUUACUUCUAAAAACAGUGAAAUUUGUUCCACUUGAGACAAUUUAUUAUUAUAUUAUUGUUACAUGUAUGUACAUUUUGUUUUCUAAACUAUAUCCCCAACAUUUAUCGCAUUGUAUAGUUUGAUUCUCUAAUUUAUACGAUCUUUGUUUCUUUUGCCUAUAUAUAUAUAUAUAUAUAUAUAUACAUUUUUUGGAAUGUCUUGCCUAAUUUAUGUAUGAGAUACUAACAAUUGUUUUGGUAGGUUAAAGUCUACAUUACUUGUAGUCUUCUACCUAAUUAAUUCAAUAAAUGAUAGUUCAUCUAGAAAACACAAAUAAAAGUAUGAAAGAUAAUGAAAACAAACAAGGUUCGAACCUUAAGUUACCAAAAUACUAAUGGGGUAUCGUUGAAGAAUUAUUUUAGUAAACUAGCUAAAUAAUAUUUGCUUCGCUGUUAUUUAUAUAUUUGUAAAAAAAAAAAUUAUAGCCAUUUUGCGUUUUAAUAUUUGUGGCUAUAAGGCGAUUUAGCCAAAAAAAAUCACAAAUUAUUUAAGUUACGAAGCUGUAACCACCUAUAUUAAGGUGCAAACGCGAAAAUUUAAGUGGCUACAAAGAUUAUUUUUGCAAAUCCCCCGUAAAUAUAUAAUGAUAUCCUUUUUACCACAGUUUUUUUUGAAAUAGAAAUCAUAAUUUUUCAUUAUGUUUUUUUCCACACAACCACAAAUAGAAAAAGCUUCCAAAUAUUAAUGUGUCCUUGAUCUUGUAAGAAAAAUUGGAAUUGUCUUUUUUUCUUAAAAAAUAGAGAAAGAGAAAGCAGAAAUGUCGGUUUUGAAAUUGAAAAAAAUAGAGUUGUGUGGAGUCAUGUGUGUCGGUGCCUCACACUUGUUUUUUUCUUGUGUUACACUGUUAUAAGUCUCAUUGGUGGGUCUCAAAUCCAAAUCUUUUGGUCAUUUAUCGUAAGCUACCCUACUUAGUACUUACUGGCUACUUCAUGCACACAUAUUUUAUUUUUCUAAGAAAGUAAAUGUCAUAGAAAUGACACGAGUUUGGUAACCAUUAGCUUGGUUUCUUGACAAAAAUUAGAAUAAAAACAAGGAAGCAAAACAAAAAUAAUAAAAUAAAUUCAUCUGAUUUAGAGAUCCAUUAAUUUUUUAAACUUUCUUUGAUGUUUUCUCGCAGUUAUAUAUGGUCUUAAUGAUAUUAAGAUCCAUGGUCUUGAUUAUUGAAGAUGACAAACGGUAGAAUGAUUUGGAGAUUAUGGAUGCAUGAGGUUAUUUCUCUGUUUCUACAUGCACAUUCUUAUUGUCAAAAAGUUAUACGUAGCGUUUUAAAAAAACCCAUAUGAAUAUAUGAUACAUACAGAAAACUUUUACUUGUAUUUUCAGCGUCUUUUUUAUGGGUGGUUUGCAAAACUAACUCAUAUAUUGUUGUUUAUUACUGAUUUGCAUAAGAGAGAAAUAAUGUGAAAAUGGCAGCGUUGUCCUUACUCAGCAAUUGUAGGAAAAACGUAAUUACGGGUGAUGCCAUUAAAAUUAAAUUCCACGUCGGAGAGAGAGUGACAAAUUUGGCAGGGAAAACUCCUGCCAAGUAAUAAGUCUACCAACGUAGUUAUGGUAGACUUAAACAAGGAUAGAGAGUUAUGUUGUAGAGAGCUCAUUUUUUGACAUAGUUGUCGGUUAGAGAUUAGAAUAGUGGUGGUAGAGUGAGUUAAUUGAUAGAGUAAGGAAGUAUAUUUUCCGGUAAUGGCGGUAGAAUUUGGUAAAUUAUAGAGUUAUCUAAUAGAUAUGAUGUAAUGGCGGGAGACUUAGUCACAAAAGAUAGUUAGAGUUAUGGUAGCGCUAUAGUUUCCUGACAGAGUUUGUUACAGUGGUGGGAGAGUUAUCGGCGUAAUAGAGUUAUGUAGCAGACUAAGGUAAUGUGGUGGUAGAGUUAAAGUGGCCAGAACAGUAUUUGUGAGCUAUAACACUUGAUGGUAGAGUUGAACACGUUAUGGUAGAUAUACAUGUAGUGAUGAUAGAGUUGUCGUGACUAGAAUAGCAAGAUUCUGAUAGAUAUAAAGCAUGAAGAUAGAGUUGUAUAACUAAUCUCUACCAUCACUAUAUAAACUUGUGUAAUAGAGUUAUGGAAGUGGAAAUAUAGUAAUACGUUAUUUAGGGCGAACGUGGUAUUCGUAAAGUCCAAUAUGCCCUCCCUCAACUAUCUUCAUCUUCUAUCUGAACCCGACGAAGGUAGUGUUCGCGAUUUUAGGUUGCUUAUGGGGGAAACCAAAAUUGUUUUUGUUUGCAAAUUAUAAUUAAAGGAGACAAUAAAUAUUGGGGAUUUGAUGGAGGUUAUUGCUUUGGUUUGUGGGAAGUGGAAAUUUUGGCACAAGCGUUGGGUUUUUAUGGUUGAUGAGAAAAGAGGUACUAGGGUGUUAUGUCCAAGUAGAAGAGAAUCAUUUGAGGAGUUUAUGGGAAUGGUGUACGAGGAUUUCGGGUUGGAAAGGAAUUUGUACGAGGUCCACCUAUCGUACAGACUGUCGAGCAAGAAGACAUCCAUAUCAUUACCAGAGGAUACGUCACCUGUAUUUGUUUGUAAUGGACGCCAAUAUCAAGGAUUUCUCCGUCUCUGGAAAUGUGAAUCAGUGUGGUGGCUCUGUGUCGAAAUUGUUGAUUUACUGCUGAAGAUUCCAACAAAUGUAGAGAUAAGCAGGGAAAGUGAGGAGAAUGUAAGGAAAAGCCGACAAAGUAAAAGGGAUAAUGGGAUAAGGCAAGAGAGUAAGGAUGAUGGAGGGAACUCCCGACAGAGUAAUGAAGGGGAUUACUACAAAAGGAAAGCAACUGAGUAACAUCCAAUUAUUGAGGAGGACGAGGAAGGAGAAGAUGAUUCUGAUGAAGACGAGAAAUAUAGGUUUGAUUGUUGUGAUGAUCCAGAUGGAGCAAGUUCUGGGGAUGAAGAGUAUGCUUCGCCUCCUAAGUUUGUGGUGUUAGAAGGUGAACAAGAAGAUGUUAAUGUGGAUAGGAAAUAAGAAAGGAAAGGGUAUUCUUAUCCGAAAAGUAAUAUGAAGACAUCAAAUCUAUUGCGAGAUCAAAUUGAUUUCCGUGAUAUUAAUAUUGAAGUUGGUCAAACAUUUGAGUCUAAAGAUGCAUUGGAGAGCACAUUGAAGAUUAUAAUUGUUUUCUAAAAGUUUGACUUCUAUGUUGAUCGAUCAAGGCCUACAUUGUAUGUUGUUAAAUGUUGGUUGCGUGGAUGUAAAUGGCGAAUGCGAGCAACAACCAUUGGUGAAUUUAGCAUUUUUCAGAUUCGAAUCUAUGGCAGACAACAUACUUGCCCUGUCAAUUUUUUCCCUUUUCAGUAUACGCUUAACAACAGAACUACUAACGUACGGAUGUAGUUGAGUGGAAGCAAGGUUUCUCUUUCGGCCUUCACGAGGAACAACACCAUCGCCUUUGCAAAACAUGUACAACUUUUCAAGGGAUAAACCCAGAUUCUUUCUAGCUUCAACCUCAGGAGGCUCUGAUAAGUCUGAUCCGUCCGAUGAUUCUUCCAAAGCAGUAGUCAAAUCAAUAGCUACUGGAUCACCCGUUUCUACUUGCCUUUCUUCACCAUAAUCCAGCCUCUUCUUGACAUUAUCUCUAUCAAGCAUUGCAGAGAUAGAAUUCUUUGUUAAUGGUAUAACAGAUUCAGUCCUCUUCUUCUAAAGUGCAGAUGUACGUUCCUUUACUUGUUUUCCUCUGAGUCUACCAACUUCAUUAAUUUACAUGCCUCAUGCUUGAACUGGGCUGAACUGUGUUUAUGGAACAAUCAAUCCAGAAUGACUUCCAUAAUCAGUUCUCUUCUUUACAGGAUCUUUGUCAAGCAUUCCAGAGAUAGAAUUGUUUCUCAAGUGAAUCAGUGUUUCACUCCUCUUCUUCUCAGGUGCAGAUAUGGGUUCCUUAAGUUGUUUAGCUCCAACUCCAACUACUUGAUUAAUUUCCUUCCCUCCUGAUUGAACUUCUCUGACUUUCUUCAAAGACAAUCUUGAUCGACUUGUUGGAUUCCUUACAACACAAGAAAUAGGGAAGUCGUCCUGCGAUGUUUGCUUCGUCUCUAAUCUCCAAGACUAAAAGGUUAAUAAACAUUUGGACAUCAGAAUAGCAGACUUAGCAAAUGUAGACCUUACAUAUGGAAACUGUUAAUACAUAACAUAGUUAAGUCUUCAAUAAAACACAAACUUCAUAUUUUACAGAUUCAAACCAUUCUGAAGUUUUUAACAAAAUGAACAAGAAGAAAAUACAGGGAGAUAAAAUUAGCUUGAAAAGAUAUCUCCAGCAACCAACCAACUAAGCAUUUUUCUGCAUGUAAAAACCAAUAUCCUUUUACCAUACCUUAUAUGAAAGUCUGUCAAUGCAAAUAAAGAGAUAUGUUUAGGGGUCAUACCUCAGCGUUGGCUCCAGAACCACCAUCAUCUCUAGUUUUGGACUCGUCAUCAUUCGCAUCACCCCCUAUCUUCACUUCAGUAGCAAUCUUCACACCCUUCCCUUUCUUAUCACCUAAUUCAUCUUUAUCUUUCUUCAACUCUCACACAUCAGUCUCAAGUUUCUCUGUGGCAAAGAAUUCUGCAAUGUCAAUUCUUGGACGUUUUCCACUCCACAUAAGUAGUGGGGGCACAUCAUCAGCCCCAGCCAAAUCUUCAUCCAACUUCUUUUUAUUCCCAUAAGUUUUCCCAAGAUGUUUCAAAAAGUCAAACCCCCAUAUCAUGAGAACAUAAACACAUCCAUGGAUUGCACAACUCUCUCUCUUAAAGGACAGCAUUUUAAUGGACUGGAUUAGCUCUUUAAGUUCCACCCGGCCCCAUGAAAAUCUGUCAAAUGCUGCAAUAUCAAAACCUCUUUUUGCAUACUCCAGUGGAAUCCUACUGCCCCUCGAGAGUCCCAAUAUGCUAACAUGAACAACAAACAACAGUCCCAACAUCUUUCUCUUCUCAGGACUCCAUGUUCUGCAAUUCUUCAAGGCUUCAUCCAAGUCAUACUAGUUAGGCCCUACACCACUAUCCACCUUUAACUCUGCCAAAAACUCUCUCUGAUCUACUUCCACAAUAUCAUCCGCAACUAUGGGCUGACAGUUCAGACCAGAAAUGUCUUCAUACUCAUUAAGAGAGAACCUAAUCGGACAGCUUUCAAUCAAUGACCAAAUCUCAUACCGCCUAUCUAUAGCCAAUUGCCGUGUGAGGAUGUAAUGAACAAGCUUAGCCCACCACUCAUAGUCAGAUUCAGCAUGACUCAAUAUGACUCCUACUUGUGUAUGAUCCCGAAUGUCUUUGUAAACAUCUUCACCAAUGCAGUCUUUCAUCAAUCCAAAACUCGCCAAAGUGUAGUUAUGGUGGAUGCUCCUCUUCAGAAGAAGAGAUUUUCCAGGCGGAUACAGUAAAGGAGGGUACCUUCCCUUCUUUUCACCACUUAAUGAUGCCAUUUCCUGCAAAUUACAAGUAUCACCAUUUCAGCAACUUCAUUAUACUCCAACAAUCUAUCAUUUCUACAUACAAUCGUUCUUAAACUUCUAUCAUUAUAACCAGCCCUUUAUCAAUUAAUUCACACUCAAAAUCCAGGUAACACUUAAACAAAAAUGCAUAACAAUUAACUCUAUCAAUAUUACCUCCCAUACCAUCUGUAUCUCUAUUUCCAAAGUUUGUGAAAACAAUUGUAAAAAGAAACCGUGUGCAAAUGACAACAAUCACAUUAACUCAUUCCAUGUAACAUACAACCUACUACAUUCCAAUUUUAUAAUCUCAUUCCAUGUUACUACAGACCAUGCAUGCUUUAUUUAUAUGAGUGUACAACAGACCCCACCAGCAGUUUACUUUGUCUUUUCUAAUGAGAAUAAAAUAGCAACUAUAACUACUUAUAAAUUAAAUCAUCACAAUAUCAUACUUUAAUGACACUAAAUCUAAAUAUAAAGUCUGCCACCAAACUAUAUGAAAUGUCAUUUUCAAUGCAAUACCAAAAAAAAUUCUUUUUUCCCCCAACCAACCCGCCAAAUUCAAAUACAAGUUUCUAUCCUAUUUUUCCAAAUUUUCCACACUCCAAAGAACAUUAACAAUCGAUAGUUACCAAAUUACAAAAUUACAAUCAACCAGAUCUACAACUCAUCGUUAAUAAACUAUACCAAAUGUUUCUUAAACACUUACCUUCUUUUCUUCAACGACGCCGGUUAAUAUACCCAACACCUCCGAUAAUGUCCCUGACGUUACGAUACCUAUCAAAAAGAUACAAUUUUCAUAAUCCAUUUCUCUUUGAAAACUUUAAUUACCCACACAUUUCACUGAAAUCUUACCCCCACGAAUCGUCUUCACCACUGUGCUCGACAAAGUAACAAAGAACGAUGAUUGAUCUUCCUUAACUCUCGCCUACUCCUUUUCUAACCUCCGCCAAUAUACACGAAAUCUCGCUUUUCCACCCACGACUGCUCGUCGCCUCGCCUCCACCGUCUCCGUCGAGUCGAUCUGUCACAGAUUAAAACUCGUUUUUUUAGUUUCUCUACUCAAACGAAAAGACUCAUCCACUCACCUAUUGAACCCACAUCUUACCGGCAAGUAGAGACAAGGCCGCCCUCGACUUUCGAACUCGCUUCAACAGUCGCCGGAAUCGCCUCACGAGUCGCCUAAUUUUCGCCUCCAAAAAGAGAAAAUGACUCUUCGGUUUUCUAUGUAAUUAGGGUUUGAUAUUAGAUAUGUUUUUGUUUUUUUGGUUUAUUUUAUAUUCGAUUACUCUAUUCUUUUUAGUUUAAUAAGUAAAACGAAUAAUAAAUGGCACAGACGUAAUAUACAAAAUAACCUGAUGGACUUUCGUAAUUUUCUUAUUCUUUGGGCUAUUGUAGUUCUACCAAAUUUGUAUGGGCUUCUUUAGUUAUUUACACAGGUUUACGAGCUAAUUUCGUUUUUUUUUCCUUUUUUAUUUAUAAAUUUUAACCUCAAUUCUGUUUUACUACAGCCUCGACAUAACCCAGAGAUGAGUUAUGUUUAAACUGGCUUCUAGUUUGGAACCAAUCAACACUAUUUAAUUAGUUGAAUAAUUCCAUAAUUAAAAGAUUCCGGUCCGAGAUAUAUACAUUUUCUCAAAUUCGAGACCAAAGCAUGUUAUAAGUACUCGUCCCAAAUGCUAUUUGAACCGACAACCGUUUAGCUUUUCCAAAAUCUUUAAUAUUUGAGUUAUUAACACUAAAUAAAUUACACUAGGUUGUUCAAGAAAACUAUACAAAUUUAAUUAAGAAACGAAACAAAAACGCGUUAAAUAACUUUGAAUCCUUUUUUGGCCAUCUGCGCAAUCACUUUCAUGCAAAUUACGUAUAUGAUAGAGAUUUCCCUUUUUUUUCUUUGGUGUUUUUUAAUUUAUUAUGAUUUUGCUAAUUGUAUUUUUCAACGUCUACUUAAUUAAUUAAUAAAGACUGUGCUUUUUUAAUUUGAUAAUGAAACCACAAAACUGAACCGAAUUUAAAUAAAAUUUUGGAGUUAACCUCAAUUUCAGUGAUGGUUAUGUCCGAACCGACUUCAAGUUGGAUCUUUAUAUGAUACUAAAUUAUCUUUAGUUUUGACUUUUUUGAGCAAAAGAAUAAUAUAGAAAUCCAAAAAUUAAAGCAAAAACGCGUUUACUAACUUUGAAUCUUUUAGUUAGGCCAUCAUGCAUGUGCACGAUCACUUUUCCAAGUUUGCCAUGCAAAUGCAAAGUAAAUUAUAUAACUCGGUGCUUUUGCUUUUGUGCAUGCACCAUCAUCAUCUUCUUAUCUCCUUUGUCUCUUUGAGCUUUAAUCCACUCUCUACCCAACGCGUAAUCUUUAUUGGGACUUUGUUGAUUAUGAAAGAAAAAAUAGAGGUGUAGUAUUUUAUAAAACACUAAAACCAUAUAUACAAAGGUUGAUUCUGACACUCUUUUAAGAUGCCUAAAACGGGGAUCGCAUUGCCAGUGAAACAACCAAGUGCAUACGUUGUAGACGCGUACGAGGACCCAAAAACCAGAGCAAGUAAUAUGAUCUUGUCUCAAACGCUAUUCGAACCGGCGACCUCUAAGUUUUUGCUAGAGAUCUUUACCAAUUGAGGUAUUAGCACUUGGUUACACUCAUGAUUCAUGUACUCACAAAAGAUGAAGUCAGUGUUUGAUCGAAACUAAUAAACUGUGAUAGCACCAUUCAAAAGUCCACAUUGUGAUGUCUAUGAAACAAACAGUACUGUGAGUCUGAGCAAAGUAGGAUUACGAACAGCAUCCUAACUUGCUAAGAAUCAACCAAUAUAACAUCUUAAAAUUUGAGGUUUUAAGUUUGACGCGAAUAUAACAAAUCGAGAACAAGAAAUCGCGAAGAAAAAAAGAACUGAUACGGUAUGAAAUGGCAAUUUAAUUUGGGAUGUGCUCUCUCAAAUCAGGAGAAAGAAAUCAUUCCAAUGUAGAAAACAAAACAACAACCCAAAGUGUGGGAAGUAAAAUCACAUUGAGAGUGUUUUAGCUUGACACAAAAUCAUGGCGUAUUAGAUCAUUUACUGUUGCAAAAGUGGCUUCAAUUGUGCUUUGAAUAGGUUCGCUAAUGCACCUCGUAUGUCCAUCUGCAAUAGUAAACUCAUAAAGUUAGAUCUACCAAAUUACAUUAUAGGCAAAAAAAAGUUAUGGUGUGUUUGUGUGUGUGUGAAGAUUCUACAAGAUAAACUAAGCCAAAGCCGAUGCACUAAGGACUUUAGUAACUUGCCUGUUCGCAGCAGACAAGUCUCGUCAGCAGAGGGUAGAACUCUCUCAUGUGUUUCCUGAAGAUUGUGUUGUUCAUGAAGCACAUGCCUUCCAAAACCUGAAACAAGAUGACAUUAGAAAAUUAUCCUCUCUAUCAAAUAAUCUCACUCACAAAUGUUUAAAAAAUAAAGAUGUAUUUACCUUCACGAUCACCGGAGAACGCAGCUCCAGUACCCGAUGAACAUCCAUGUUAGUAGUCUCACCCAAAGUGGACUGCAGUUCAGAUGUUUCUUUCAGCACUUGUUCACAGAACGUUACCAAUUUUUCUUCUGCUGCACCUUCUAGUUUGUCUUCCGUGUUAGAUGUAUCAUCCGCAAGCCCAGAAGUUGUCUUUUGCAAAACGUCCAAAUAUAUGGUGGUUCCUUCCAACUCUUGUCGGAGAAGGUUUAAAGGUGGCCUGUAAAUAAUGAACAGAUCAGAUUUUAUGUAAGGAGGAAAAAUAUCUAUUACUCAGUCCAUAAGGAUCAGUCACCAACCUCUCCACGGGAAUGUGAUUCAUACGUGUUCUAAGAUUAGAAUAUGAAUUGUAGGAAGCAGCAAAUUCUACGAAAGAGAACAAGAUGUCCAUAAUCGCAAUCUUCUGGGGUGUUUUCAAAUUAUUCCAGUAUUUUUGCUGCAGAAUUAACACCAAACAGGAAAGAAUGCAACUGUCAGUUCAAAACACCCGGCACAUGUCCUCUAAAGCUUACUGGGGGUCAGGUGUUCAGGAAGGAAUAAGAGUGUCUGCUUAAGACCAUACAUCGUAGCAAAGCAGAGAAGACAUUAAAAUACCUGGAUACUGUUGAUAGCUCCGAGUAGUAGUAAUUGUGUAAUGCAUUUGCCUCUAAUAGUUCCUAGAGCUGGACUCUCUUCUUCUCUACUGUCAGGCUCUAUAGGAUCCUCAUGCUACAGAAGAAGGUAAUUAGUAAAGAAAUUUCCAUGUUUAUCAUAUUACUUGGAGAAACAAUAGAACUAUGACAAAAAAAAAGGAAUGACCAGUGAAGAGUGUAAAUUAGCAAGAUAUAUCAAAUGGAUAAAAAGCCAGGGAGUGUGCACAUGCAAAAUACCUUAUAUGGAGAAGAGGGUACAGACACUUCAGCAAUAGAGCUUUUUGGUUGAGAUGUGAGAUUCCUAAGGAACAGAUUGUCCAUGAAUCUUUGACCAAAAGUCUGGCUCCGUUGCAGAUUCACAUCAUCCCCAUCCUUUUGAGCCCUUCCAGAUGACGAUGGACGACCUUUAAUGGGAAACAAUAUAGGUUUAAAAAACAUGGCAUGUAUAAAUUCAAAUUUCUUUCAGAUAGUUUAUCAGGCCCAACAUGUCCUACAUAACAAGAAAUUAUUUUCCAGCAGUAGCCAUAAGGCAAUCCUGUAAAUUGUUUAAGCAUAAAUCCAAAGUUCUACAAAGUUAAGUGAUAACCUUCAGAACCAUCCGCACCAGGAGUACCAAUCCUUGGAGAUGCCUGGGCAGAAACUUUCCCAUUAUCUUUAAUAUCGUCAGGAUUAUGAUCAACCCGUGGAGAAUCAGAGGCAUCAGCCUCUAUAUCUCCUGUCAGAGCUAGGUUCGUUGUCGGAUUGUCUAAACUCAAAGCAUUCAACAGCUCCAGCGGUUGAGUUGUGUAUGAUGCAUCUCUGGCAAGUGAAAGAAAAAGUUAGAUAACAACAACUGAAGAUAACAGUUUGUAAUGAAAGGUGGUCACCUUAUGCUUUUUAAGAGCAUAUCCCAGUCGCCCUCACUAAAUUGAUGGCCUCCAACCUCUAUGAGGUGAACCAAUGCUCCUAAAGAAAUUGAAACAACUGUCUGAUCUGAUCUCUUCGCACAGUCUAGGAGCAAACUUAAAAGUGGAGGCAGCAUAAAACAAACUUCCUGCUCCAAAGGUGAAUAAUUCAACGGUCAAAUUUGCAGCAUGCAAUAAUAUGUCAUGAAAAAAUAUCUGUAUGAUUUCAUGCAGUAAACAUGACAAGUACUGCAGCAAGUAUGAAAAUUAAUUGAGUAAAAUGGACAAGAUGAGCAUAAAGGGAGCAAAUGAAGAAAACUUCUUCAGUACCUUGUAGAACGUAUUGAAGAGAUUGCAGAGGAGCUGAAGAGAAUGAAUGCUUGUUUCACGAAAUUUUACAUCCCCAGAAGAUAUUAAGCUUUCCUUUCCAGCAUGACUCACAUGAUCAAAAAUUGGAAACAAGAUGCGAUGGAAGAUACUCUCCCAGAAAGGUGUGGAGAACUUUUUCCCCCUUUCAUUCAGCAAAUCAAACAACACCUCCAGAGCACAGUUUCUAACUUCGGCUCUAAAGUCAGAAGUCAGAUCAGAUAAACCGGCAAGCAUUGGAAACCAGUAAUGCUCUGUCACAUCAAAAGUUUCAUCCUCAUUGGUAUCAACAGGCUUGAGAACACCACCAGGUAUAAGUCCCUGAGAAUUAUCACAUGCUAGGCAAAUGAGCAUAUGUAGUUACAGUGGGAGAACUCAAAAGGAAGUGAGAGAGCUCGAUGAUAGCCCAAAACAUAGAUACGAACGGGAAAGGAGUGUGGGGCAUAGGAUUUAAGUUAUAUAAAUGAGUAUAACGCUGAAUUAUCAGGGCAAAACUUAGCUUGAAAACAUACCUCUGCAAGCCGAUCCUCACAUAUUCUGAGAAGGGCAAUAGCUUUCAGGCUUAUACGGUCUGAAGCUUUGUUAUUGGCAAACCUGAUGAGACAGUUGACGCAAUCCAUGAAGCAGUCUCCAAUGACCUGGUCAAAGUGUUCAAGAAUAACUGCAAACAAACUAGUGGUUAGACAAACAUUUACGAAACGAAAGAGUGAGAAAAUAUACUAAAACUAGGAUAAAAAUGCAAGAGUUUGAUGGACAGUUUAUCACCUUGCUCAACGUUCUCAAAUGAUUUUUCAACUAUCGAUUCAACUUCGUCAUCUGCAGCUGCUGUAAAUAUCAUAAAAACACUCCUCCACCCCGAUUUUAUGCUUCCAACUUUAGAUUUUAUCAUCUAAAAAUAAAAGACUGAUUAGCUGCUGAAAAAAUGGCUGCAUACUACUGAAUAACCAAAAAUCUAUGAACAUUUUAAUUUUCGAAUUUAGAAAAGACCAAGCAAGCAACCUGAACAAUGCAGUCAACAAUCAGGCUCCUUAUGGUCUGACUUUGAGUAUUCCGCAUAAUAAUGACAAAAGGUUUGAGAAUAUCAUUUUGGAAAGUGAAAUUGGUGAGCUCAGCACGUUCCAAAUAUUUCAUCCCCAACUGUCUCAGAGAAUCUAUGGCAUACAUUGCAAUCUUUUCAUCAUGAUGGCUACCAGCAGCUACAAAAUGUUCAGCAAGGACAGACCAAAUUCUUGCCCAGACCUGGUAUAUGUUACAAAACAAACAAAAUAAGUAAUAUGUGCAUGUAAUAUAAGUAUCAAAAUGGAUGUAUAGCCUAAGAUACGUAAUCUAUCAGGCCUUCAAUAUUACUUCGACAAGGGGUGAGGAAGCAUUUUAUAACAAACACCAAAACUUGUAAUAAUGCACACUAGAGAUAAGUCAAAUUAAGAACAGAAUAGACAACAAAGGCAACAAAGUUCUCCGAUUUACUCUCUGCUUGUGUUGUUGUUAAUGUUAAGUGUAUCCAUACUUUGCAUGAGGUGCGAGGAUAGGGUAUGUGUUGUGACAUGUUUAAUAUCAUAAUUAACCAUGCAUCAAGUAGGAUAGAAGACUAUCAGAAGUGUACCAUGCGAAUACGAGCUAUAUUGUAAUAACUGAUCUCAACAAGCUUCUGCAAGCUGAAAACACGGGCAGGAGACUGUUUCAGCUCUUCAGCUGAAACACCACAUAGAGCAGUAAAGAAUUCCACAACGGAUUCACUGGGCAGCUUCACACUGUUUACAAAAACUUGUUCAGCUGGUCUCCCGGCUAAUUCCUUCAAUGACUGAACAACACCAUCCCUGGAUAUCUGGUUUGAUCCAUGCAUUACAGUUGCAGCAAUUCCAGGAGUAGAAAUAAUGAAUUCUAGCCGGGAAACACACUCUAAAACUGCAUUCCAAGUAUCUUGCAGGGUAUCAGGUUCUGAGUCACACAAAGACAGUAAUAUCCUCAGUGCUUCAACAUUUUUGCUCCGCAUUUCUUUAGGAGCAUGCAAGAAAGUGAACCUAAGGACGGAAAAAUAGUCAACAUGCCAUUCAAAUAAAACUUGCACUGCGAUGGCACAAUACCUCACAUAAAUUGCCAAUACACAAGGCAACCUGAAUAAAUAUUUAACAAUCAAGCAUAAGUGGGGAUGUGAAACAAACUGUUGCAAGUUUACCUGACAAGCGAUGUUAGAAAGGCAUAUCGCAUUGUAUCCAUUCCAAGAACAAAUGCAAUAUGUAUGCCAGCUUUAAAUCCCUCCAUGCAGAGAAGAAUCCUUGGUUUGUUAUCACCUACUUCCAUUGUAACGGAGAAAGCAGCAAGCAAAGGCCAUCCAACAGCUUCCACCAUGGGCCUUAUAAUGUCAACUUGGUCUACAGUGUGAAAAACUCCUCUUUUCACUCCAUCCUUCCGGAAAAUUUCCUGUGUUUUCCUAACAAUAUCCUCAGUCUCAGACUUAGCAUCAGCUGCUGAUAUUCUUUUUGGCAAACCCAGAUUAAGAAUGCUGACAAGACCACCUCUUUCUUCUCCUCCUGGCCUUUGACUGCUGAACUUCUUCAUGCUGCUGUCAUCAUCUUUUAGUUUAAUUUCUUCUUGUACAAUAGAAUCAUAGAUCUCUUCCAGAAGUUCAGUUGGAGCGCAAUCUUCAGGAUCAUUUGUAACAUUUAUACGUGUGAAAUCAGAUUUUGACAUUUUCGGCCAAACCAUUGGAUUAUGUGCAUCUGUAUUCAACAUGAUAACUGCAUAGGCUAGAACAUAGGCAGUAUCUGCUUUCUUGAACAGACCCGGAUUAUCUGCGCAAUAUCUACUCAAAGAAACAGUGGAACAGAAAAUGUUAGUUUAAAUGAGGAAAAACGGAUAAGAUAAUCUAAUAUAGGUUUUCAUCACCUAAUUGACAAAUAACUAGCAAGCUUAAUAUUUGUAGUAGAUUCAGAAAAGGGAGAAUAAUACAUGGUGUCCUUACCUCUCUGCAAACUUCUCCAUAAUGCGAUCAAUUUUUUGAGCCUCCCCUGGAAGUCUAAAACCUUUGAGAAAUUCACGAAUAGCAGACUGAAACUUCAUUUCUGAAAAUUUCAUUGAAUCAACAAAUUCGUGCAUGACCGCAAGAGGAAAUUCCUCGUGUUGGCCCAAGUAAUCGCCAAUCAUAACCUAUAUAUAAAAAGAGUUAUACCCCACCUAUAAAUACUGAACAUAACUGUGCAUAGUUCUAUAGUUCCACCUUGCUCAGACUUGGAGUACUUCUCAGAAACUGUGCAACUGAAGCAGGAUUCCUUUCGACCAAUUUGUUUGCUAUUAAAUAUUCGACACCCUUCACUGAAUUCCUGUUGAACUGCAAAAUGAUUAUACAUGCAUUAGUAUGUCACUACUGCUGACAAGCAUUCACAAUAUUGAACAGUAACCUCGGAGAUGGCAGCCUCCAUUGUGGACUUAUGAGCUUUAGCCUUCUCAAAGUUGCUUGGGACAUCUUCCCUGCUUUUGGUUUCAAUUGGCUCUCCAGCGGAAGCAGAGGCCUCAUUUGCAUUUCUUGUACUAUUUUCGGCCUCUCUCCUUAGUUUCUCCCAAUCAACUAGUGACUUAAGUACAUUGACCAGGCACUAGAAAUUUAUAAGACAAUGGUUCCUUCAGUUUUUUAUUGAAUAUGAUAUCGACAAAAUAAUACAUAGCAAUUUAAGUAGUUAAGUUUCUGGACAUAAGUAAAGAAAACAUGAUAUGACUCCUACCUGAAGUGAUGAACCUUUUACUGAUGCUGUCUGCGAAGCCAUGGCAGGAUUUGGAUCAGCACUCUGAGACCCUUGAGCAAUUUUAGACAGUGUUGUUACCUAAAAGAGACGAAAAUAUGUUAUGUGAGCCAAAACUAUCAGUCACAUUCUUGACGUACAGUAAUUAUAUAAAGAAAAGAAAAUGGAGCAAACCAUGCGCUCAAACAAGUUUGGGGCCUCUAGAUCACAAUCAUAGUUUACAUACACAUCAACAAGCAUCUGAGGAUCUUUACAGACUUUUUCAAGCAUCCUGCAUAAAAAAGUAUUUAAAUCCAUGAAAUUCAAAGCAAAAAGAAAGUAGAUUCACUUGCUUAUGAGACGUAUUCAAGGUAAAAUAUAUCUGACUGUGCAGAAUAAUAUUUUACCUGAGAACACCCAUCUUUUGGUCACUGGGACACUCGGAGCUGUCUAGUGAUCGUAAGACGAUGAUGGGGAAAAAGAUACCAAUUUCACCCUGGAAAUGAAUUUUAGGAUACCAAAAAAAUAAGGUAAAAGGAAACAAUCCCCGCAAAGAAGAAAUUCUACACUGGAGACAUCACAUGCUUACUUUUAAACUAUCUCUGAACCGCAGCAAAAGCACGGAGAAGAUACCAGAUGCAUACUGCCAGAACAUAAAAUGCUAGUUAGAUACAUCAUUCUAAUAUAAAUCUAGAGAUGUAUAUGAAAUGGAGAAUUAAACCUGAAAUAUGACAGGAGAUUGUGAUACUGAUGCCCGCAACAAUGCAUAUGAGAGGUAGGCUUUCACUGAAUCAAUAAAGUGAAAAUUCUUUGUAAACGAAUGACUAACUCCUUCUAGCAUACCCUGCAUAUUGCAAACAUAUUUGUUACGGAAAAUUUGGUCAAACUCAACCAACAGAAAUGACUUUUAGAGAAAACACAACAUAAAUAACAAUCUGAUGUCAAAGACAUAUAUACGGGCCUUUCACAAUAUCAAAGUUCUGAGGAAUGCACAGAAACUGUUUUGGGGGUAAAUCCUACUGCUACUGCAUAUCACAAAAAUUUAGGCAGGAAACAGUGGAAAGGUAACUGUCACAACAAUUAUGUAUUCAAACACACCUCUAUUUGACUUUAAACGAAAAAUAAUAAUUUUCUAUGAUGUGGAAUUUGAAAGUCACUGUCACAACGACCAUGUCUACACUCAUCUAUUUGACUUCAGAACAAUAAUACUUUAUAUAUUAUGCUAUAGUGAGUCUUUUGUUACAAAUUUACAAGAACAAUGUAAAAUACCUGAAGAAGCUCAAGAGACAAUAUACGGGUCUUGGUUGUGACUUCAUCACUAUCUUCUUUCAUACCCAUCUGAUACAGAUUUUUUAGAAAUAUGUCACAGAAGCACCACAAAUAAGCUAGUCAAGGAUAGAAAAAUGGAACCCUCAAAAAGCCAACCUUGCAAAGGGUACGGAAUACUAGCAAUGCAUCACGCUGUCCAAUACUCAUGCUCUCUAGCUCGAUGCCCCUAUAGAAGUAAAAUGAGUUCAAUACAAAGUCAUGACUCUUACAAUGGAAAGAACAAGUCUAACUCAUUAUUCGCUAAUCAAAACAGGUAUAUAUGACCAUGUGUAGAUGUUCAGCCACAUACAAAUGUUUUACGUAUAAUAUAGCCGUCUGUGUGCAUACAUAUUCAAACACAUAAACACACACAAGCAUAAAUAGGCAUAAAAGACAUACCGGUAUAUAGAUCAGAAAAGCAAAAUCUUAAACUCAGAAUUGAGGAGAGUGGCAUAAACUAUACCGUUUUAUCUUCUUGCCAUCUUCAAGAUGCACAGCUUUGUCAAGGGCGGCUUCUAAUCCCUGAUCAUAUAUUUAAGAAUUUCAUUGUCCAAAAAACCACAACUCUUGAACCACAAUAUACAAGAGUCUUCCAACAAUCAGAAAGAACAACGAAAAUAUCCUAGAGAACUUCUUCCAAUCUCUCUUUUUUUUCUAUUAUUUGAUAAGAAAGGGAAACUCUAUAAAGACUUUGAGCGCACUCGAGGACCAGUGACUGAAAUUUUUUUCUACUUAUCCAGAAGCAACAACGAGGAUAUGAAAGAUGUAUAUAGAGAAACAACGCUACAAAACAAUGUCGAAUCUUUUUCUUCUAAGGAAUUUCUAUCCUUUUUCCAAAAACCUUUCAGCACUUCUUGCUUGAAGAAUACUUCUCUAAUCAACUCAAGGCAAUGGAUAAAAGUUUAAAAUAUAAGGUGAAGACCAACCUUAAUAUCAGCACCGCCUACAAGGGUAUGCAGCUCUUCAACAGAAGCAAGAGUUGUGUCUUUUGCCUGAGUCAGUGCAUCUCCUAAAGUCAUUUCUUUCUCAUUUUCAUCAGCUGCAGUAAUUUCUUCAUUCUUAGGGUUUGAACUGUCGCCUGAAACAUGUUCUUCCUGAGACACUGUGGAUGAUGCGGAAGCCUACAUAUACAUUCAAUAGUCAGCGCCUCCAUUCAAAAAUUACUUUGUUUUCAAUUUUUCAUGCAUUCAAUGAAACAUGUCCAAAAUAGAGAAAUUAAUAUUACUUACAAUGUCAGUCUCCAUUCUCCUGAAUACUAUGCUUAUCAUCUGAGUCAACAUUGCUUUAGAAGUUGCCUGGUUUAUUGGGCUCUUGCUACAUGAAAAUUCUGCAUUUAGUGAUUGCACUUAGAGUGACGAAAAAUUUCAGACAAAAGGAGAGAAAGCACACCUGUUUAGAGCAAUGUUAUAGCAAACUCGAAUAACUCCCAGCAACGGUUCCCCAUGCACUGCCAUCAAUAACAAAUUAAAAUAGUAAAAUUUGCUGUUGCAAUCACAAUAAACUGAGAAACCAGUUCAGCCCUCUAAAAUUUUACAAAACAUAGCUUUUUACAUCAGAGGCUUACCUUUGAACUUUCCUGAAGCAACAGCUGUAAGGAGAACCUUCAGCACUUGGAGUACAGUGCUGCAUAAAAUUUUCCACUUUAAGAAUUGGUAUAACCAUUGUCAAAAAAUUGAAAAACAAAGGUACAUACCUGUCUGGUGAUGAGUUGUCUACACAGCUGCAAACCAUGUUCAGAAUAUCGGUGAAAGGUGCAGCAUUUUUUCCGCCAUCCAAACCCGGAUCCCCCUCCAAAUGAUCAUAGGCAAUAAGUUUCUGGUUGCAAAAAACAAAGAAUUAUAAACAUAUUCAGCACAUCAACUAAAUGACAGGAGAUACAUUACAUGAGUACAGAAUUACAUCUCAAAAUGAUGGCAUUUAAUGGAGCAAACGACCAGGAAUACUCAAAGCAAUUAGAAAAACAAAUACAUACAUGAAGACAAUCCAAAGCAGCAUCAAAUAUUUUCAAGUUCUUUGUCUCAAAUGCAAGGCGUAGAGGUUUCAGAACAAGCUCCACUUCUGCACCCCCUAAUGUGUGUCCAGCAUUUGCUAAUGAAAUGUUUAUAGUCCCGCUUUUUGACUGGCUAGCCUGCUCAGCCACUUCAGCACUUGGGAUUUUUUGCGGUUCAUCUGUUUUUCCCCCAGUUUUCUCACCUCCACCUUCAGCUUGUGAACUGAAGUUAAAUAUAAAUCAGUGUCAGUCUUGAGGAAUCAGACUAUUGAACUUAUUUCCAUAUGUAUAAGGCAGGACGACAGACAGAAUAGGCCACCUUAACAUGUGAAACCCCUUAAGAUUUGGUGAUAUUAAACAUAACACACAAUCAAAGUAAAUAUCAAUUUAUCUAGAAAACUUAAUCCUAAAGCUAGCAGAAAAUGGCACACUGGUCAUUACCUCUCAUCUAUGCUCGAGGAUGCAGCCUGCGUAACAACCUUCGAACCAUCUAUAAUAAUCACAAAUGAAAGCUAGCGUAGUUAGCAAACCAGAAAAUAGUUAUCAACACCAUGUUUUUCCAUAGUAUGAAGACAAUAUGACCAAAUGCCACACUAGAGCACAACCAAACAUAAUGUAGAGAGAAGCCUUAACCAAAGACUUGUUUAAAAUUCUUUGCUUGCCGGAUAACAACAGGGAGUGAAUAUCCUUCAUACUACUAAUAUCACCUCAUUGACACAGAUCAGUUGAGAAUCUAAGUAGCACAUGCAGCUUAACCGCAGCAAUACCCCAGAGACGAUAAUAGAAAGUUUGUAAUAAUGGACCACACUUCCCUUUAAUUUAAGGUAGAAAUAAGCAAACCAUUCUGUCAUCACAUAACCUAUCGAAUUCCCCAACCCAACUUUCUUGUACAAUAAAUCAGAGAGUCAUUGACGCCUAUAAGUCUUCAAAAAAGGUUAUAUUACUCGAAACCAGCGAAUACGAAGUCAAACUAUUCUGAUAGGUAGCAUCUUUGUUCACAGGUCAAUAGUCAACUAUCAAAUACAAACUAAAAGCCAGAAGUUGAUCUAAGGCCUAAGUCUCAGCAAAUCAUCGACAACAACCAAAAAAAAUCCAUAGCCUUAGCCUAAUCCUAUCAAGCCACACUAAUGUUCACUAAUAAACCAACACUUGCGGCAACCACAGUUAAGUCAAAUACAUCUAGUGGCUAUGAUCGUGUUCCAAAUGGGUGAAAUCUCCUCUGACCAAAAGCAACGAUCGAACAAUUAGAGUAAAAAUGUGAGAAAUUGAGAUCUAAACCUUGAUAAGCUUGAAUAGCUUUCUGGAGAUCAGGAUACUUCUUUCCCCCAGACUCCUUAAGCAUCGUCUCGAAUGCUCGAGUCAAAAACCCACCCGCCGCCAUUUUUAACCCUUCUUAUUCCUCUUCCACUUCGUCGUCGUCUUCUUCAGCUUCAACAGCAGUUUUUCGUCUGCACAACACCGCGAAAUCGAACGAAUUACGAACAGAUCGUGACGAGAAAGAUCGUUGAUGGAGUCGAGAGAGAAGUGAGAUAUGAGAAUUGCCUAAGCUCUCUCUGGUUUUGAUUUGUGCCCCUUGACCGAAGAAGCUUGAUCGAAGAGAGAGAGAUCUGAAGCAGCGGAACGAGCCACUAGCUAGAUCUAAUUUCCCAUUUGAACAAAAACAAAAAAAUUAUUACUAACUAUUGAAAAUAGUUAAGAAGAAGAAUAAAACAAUGUCUUGUACGUAUUACUCAAAGCGAUCUGACUCCUGAGCCAAUUGAACCGGGGUUAUUUCCUAAAUUGAAUUGAACCAGGAAUUUUGGUUUAAUCUACUCUGGUCUUAAAAUAAUAAUCUAUACUAUUAAUUGGGAAGGACAACUUGAAGCCAAACACCCCCUAAUUGAAAAAAAAAUUUCAUGAAAUAUAUUCCAGUUGCCAAACAGAAUUAUUGACAGCAAAAAAAAACAAAAAAACAAAAACAAUCUAUAUUUAUGGAAAUCAUAAUAAUCUUUUACCAUAAAAAGUGGACAAUUAAAUUCAAAAUUAAAUAUAUGUAAACAUGUCUAUUUUGAAUAUACAUAAACAUAUUUAAUAUUAAUUUAAUAUUUUAAUAUAAUUUCGAAAUUAAUAGUAUAGAUAUAGAAUGAAAUCUAAUAAAACAAAAUCAUCAUAUAUCUAAAAACAANNNNNNNNNNNNNNNNNNNNNNNNNNNNNNNNNNNNNNNNNNNNNNNNNNNNNNNNNNNNNNNNNNNNNNNNNNNNNNNNNNNNNNNNNNNNNNNNNNNNNNNNNNNNNNNNNNNNNNNNNNNNNNNNNNNNNNNNNNNNNNNNNNNNNNNNNNNNNNNNNNNNNNNNNNNNNNNNNNNNNNAAAUCAUGCGAAUAAACAUUUUAGAUCACAUAAAUUUCUUAUUUUCACAUAAAAAAUAUUCAUAUUCAAAAAGCAAUCUAGCAAUUAUAGCACAAAAGAUAUCUACAAAAUGUAACAUUAAUUCAAUUAGUUAAUGGUUUUUUAUUUGGUCAAACAGUUAGCUUAUGAUUAUUCUAAACUUCUUUUUCUUAUUAAUUUCACACAAUCUUAACAAAAUAAAUCUUCAUCCAUUGGCAAUUUGCAUAUCAUUACUAUUAUCAAAUAUUAAAUAAUUGUUUUAUCAAAUCAUUAACUACAUUUUGAGAUUAUAAACAUAUAGAAUUUCUAUUAUGAUUAAAACUAAAUAACAAGUGGAUAUAUCACAUUUAAAUGAUUUUAACGACUUAUUACCAAUUUUUAAAUAAUAAAUGGAUUAUAUUUUAUGAUUUAAUCUAAUUGAAAACAAAUAAAAUGUCAAAUUGGUAUGAUAUAAUAAAUAAAUAUCUAUAAACAUUAUCUCACAUAUACAUACAGUUUUAAACNNNNNNNNNNNNNNNNNNNNNNNNNNNNNNNNNNNNNNNNNNNNNNNNNNNNNNNNNNNNNNNNNNNNNNNNNNNNNNNNNNNNNNNNNNNNNNNNNNNNCCUUGAAAAAUAUGAUAUAAGUUUUGGAUAACCGGUUGAAAAAAAAAAUUGGUAGUUAUAUUUAAUUGUCAAAAUCUCAAAAUAUUGUACAAAAUUCAACAUUGGGACGUAUAAAUCUCUACUUUUGGACGAUUAUAUAAAAUUUUACAUAUAUUAAAAUAAUAUUUAGUUACAUGUAAAUGGUGUUAUUUAUUAAAAAAAUAUAAACUUGUAGGAAUAGAUACAAGACGGGAACUUAUAAUUCGAAAACAAACAUUAUCUGAAUUAUUUCUCAUAGAAAAAAACAUGAUCAGAUAUAAUUGUUAUGAGACAUGGUUAUAAAGUUAAAUUCGCUUUCAACUUUCAAAUAUAAAACUACGAGUAUGAUACGGGGACAUGUAAUUUAAAUUGCUAAAUUUAAUUUCCACUUUCCUAUUUAUUUCAAAUAUUUAGACAUGAUAUGACUGGUACAAGAAGAUAACGUAUACUUUAGAUAACAAAACUACAAUAAAUCCAUGUAUUAAAAAAAACCUAAAUCGUUAGAAAACAAAAAGGCUAAAACAUGAAUCUUUGAAUUAAAGAAAGUAAUGAGAAAUAAAGAUGAAACGGAAAGAUCAAUAAAAUUAAAAAUCGAACAAGGAUUGUGUAUGCUAGGAUUACAGAUAGUGCCUUGUGAAUGAAAAUGGUGGGAGCAUGUGACUUAGAUUGAUAAUUAGAUUUUUAUUAGUUUGAUAAAAAUAAAUAUUUAAACGAGGAAUACGGGUAUCCCGUCUAAAUAUUUUAUCAAGUUUCUUAUAAUAAACAUUGGCAACUGAUUAUGUUUUAAAAAGAAACGAUUACGGGACAGAAAUUUUAUGACAGAUAGAAGACGGGACGGGACGGGGCGGGGUGGGACGGGACGGUUCAGGACAAGACGGAAAGGAAUAGGACGGGUUUUCCAUUCUAAACUACACAUAAAACAGUUCAAACUAAAGCCAAACCCAAAUCCGAUUUAACAUCUCUAAGCAAACAGUGAAAUAUUUUGAUUAGGUUAAAAAAUAAACAAGUAAUAUCAUUUAUCAUUUUCAUUUAAAUAAUUUUAAAAUUGUUUAUGUAAUACAAUAUCUAUAUUUUACAACUGUGUGUCUAUAUAUAGUUGAUCAAAUAAACUCAUAUAACAAAAUUUUACCAAAAUAGCAUCUACUUAACAAAUCGUAAUUUUGUAAAAAUGUGCGGAAUCACUAGUUGUUGUUAUUUUCAUACUCACAAACUCAAAACAAGAAUAAUUUUAUCCUUAGUUCCUUACUAUAUGUGAAUUAAUUAUCGAUGUUUAAAUUAUUUUCCUACCAAAAAGAAUAAUUUCAUUAUUUGAUUAAAAAAAACUUUAACUCAAAAUAUAUUUUUUAUUGAUAUGUUGUUUUACUACUAUAAUUUAUUUAUAAAUAAAAAGUUUAAAAAAAAAUCUAAAACUAUAAGGAUUACUUAAGUGUUAUUGAAAAAGAAAAAAUUUGUAAGCAUCUGAUUUGUAAGCAUCUGAAAUAACCUUAAAAUUUUGUAAUGAAUAUAGAUUUAUUAAUUUGCAAACGAAACUGAUUUGAAAUUUUUUCAUAAAUUUUCUUUCUGUUUACAUAAUUUGAUUAAAUAAAAUUAUAAAUUAUUGUUAACUCAUUUAAACAUUAAUAAUUAAUUCAGAUGGUAGGGGUAAAAUUAGAAUUUUAUUUUUUCUUUUGAAAUUGUGGAUAUGAAACAACAAUUUAUUUUUUGAGGAUUAAAUCACAAACGUUAAUUAGUAUAUGUAUUUUUCAUUCAACGAAAAAGUUCAGGUAUUAAACAUUAAAAAAUAAACCAAAUAUUUUUUGGGUUUUCCCCUUUAAAGUUUGGGAUUUAAAGUGUUUUAUUCACCCACGAGAAAAUAAUAAUAUUAUUAUUUGAAAGGGGGAAUUUUAAAAAUACCCAUUUUCCAAUACCACUUUUUAAAAAUACCCCUCUUUCUAAUUUUAUCAAAACGUCACUAUAAAAUUUGAAAUUUAUCAAAAAAAUAUGUGUAAGCUUAUACUUAUAGACACAAAUUAUCUUUAUAUGUAUGCAAAUUUAUAUAUAUAUUUCAUAAGUACCAUAUAAAUACCUUUUAAAAACCUUUUAGAUAAUCAUUUAAAAACCUUAUAAAAACUUUGUAAACCUUUUAAAAACCUUAUAAAAUCCUUAUAAAUACCAUUUAGAACCUUUUAAAAGCUUAUAACUAUUUGGAUUUAGUCUCCCAGUAGUAAUGAUUAUCUUGAUGUACCUUAUCAACCAUAUAAAAGUUUAUAAUUUUUCAUAUUUGAAAAGGGGUAUUUUUGAAAAUGGAUAGAAGAAAGAGAUAUUUUUCAAAAGGGGUAUUUCUCAAAAAUUCUCUAUUUGAAAAGAUUUAAACUCUAAUUUUUAUAGCCGCACACACAAAAUGGUUGACAACGACAUUGCCGCCGCAAAUGAUGUUUCUUCCCUACUCUUUGCUGCAUCUUUGCUUAGCAAACAUGGGAAAACGGCCGAUUCCCCCACAAACUAUGUUACUUUAUCGCAUUCACACACAUAACUUUGUCGCGUGCCUAUAACUAUAUAAAUUUGUAUUAAAUUUGAAUUUUCUACAUGGACAAAACAAAUCUGGUCUAAACCCACAAAUCUCUAAACGACGUUACUAUUCCGUUAAGAGAAAGAUGACUAGGAUGCCACGUGGAUGGAAAAGAAAAAAUAAGGAAAAAAUUAAUUAGCCCAGGUUCGAACCAACUACCUUUCACACAACCUAGCAGAUGUAAUACCACUACACCUCCUUCUAAUAAUGAUAGUUAUCUAAAUGGAUAUAUAGAUAUACAAUAAAUACAAAAUGACAAAACUAAAAAAGAAACUCAUCUCUCUUUGCUGUCUCGAUUUCUUCAUCUCCUCUCCACCAUCAUCACUCGUUCAACUCCAGCGAGAAACUGAAAAGUUUUUCUCUUAAUCAAACUUGAAUAUCAAUUUUUAUUUUUAUUUUCCUUUUGCGAAAUCCAGUUGAAUCAAAUCUGAUAUGAUCAACCAAAGAAAACCCAGUUUUUAGUCCAAUAAAUUAUAUGUGAUUAGGAGAUCGGAGAAGAGAAAACAAUUAAAGGUUUUACCCCAUUGUUUUUAAUUUUCAUUCUAGAUCUACGACACAGAGAUCACAUAAAGACCAAAAUUCAGAGAAAUAAACCAAAAAAUAAGUUCAUUAACAGAUUUGAGAAACAAAAAAAAUUAACUAGAUGAUGAGAAUAAGAAAGCGAAGUCAUUGGAAACAUAAAAAAGUGAACGGAAGGUGACAGAUUGAUCGGAGAAGAAGAGUCGGCGAUGCACCUAUCUACUCGACCUAAUCUAUGAGAAACAGAUAAUCGUUAUAUAUAAAUGUAUAUUUGAUUGUCAUUGUACAUAUAAUGGUGUUGGCACAGUUGGUACUACGUAAGCGAUUUUGAGUAGGAAGUCAAGGGUUCGAUUCUUAGAUAUGUAUUUAUUUUUUUUCUUUAAUAAUACGACGUCGUUUUGGUGUUAUCAAAUCCACGUGGCAUCCUAGUCAUCUUUCUCUUAACGGAAUAGUAACGUCGUUUAGAGAUUUGUUGGUUUAGAUCAGAUUUGUUUUGUCCAUGUAGAAAAUUCAAAUUUAAUACAAAUUUAUAUAGUUAUAGGCACGCGACAAAGUUAUGUGUGUGAAUGCGAUAAAGUAACAUAGUUUGUGGGGGAAUCGGCCGUUUUCCCUAGCAAACAUAGUGGGAAGAAAUGGGCUGAUGGUCAUGGCUUUACUAUAGUGGAUUUGUGCAUUGAUUCUAGUCCUCGGCGGCAAGAUAUUUUCAAACAUGUUUUCAAAACAAAUCGACCUUCUAACCAAAGGAGAAAUGAUCAUAAUCAGCAGGAGACUAUGAGUCGAUGAUAAAAAUAUAUUAUUUCUAUCAAUUUUCAUUUUUUCUUCUUAUAAAUUUUAUGUUUAUUUUAAUUUUAUUUAAUAUGUUUUCUAUGAUCCGGCAAACCACCAUUGUCGAUUCAACAAUAUUGUGGAGUUUUAAGCCAAAAUAAAAUUUGAACCCUAUAAAUUUGUACUUUUACAGAUUAUUUGUUUUAAACAUAUUUUUAUGUAUUUUUAUAAAACUAAUUUGUUAUAAAAAUAAAAAGGUAUUUGUAAAUAACUAGGACAUAUAUACCAUACUGACUUAGCUUUGAAGUGGUUUCUCCGUGAACAGUGUCACCUUAAAUCAUUAUUAGUCUUCAUCAUUUGCUCCCCUUUAUUUUUGUAGGCGCCAGUCUUCUUCAUAUGGCCGCAUUGCAUCAAUAUGGAUCAAAUAAUCCAUUGGGUGUACAUUCUAAGAUGGAUAAAAUAGUUUUUACCCUUAUUUUUGUGUCUCAUCACUAAAGUGUGUUUCACUCGUUUUGCUACAUUUCCUAUGUCAAGCUCUCUAUCUUGGUUAAUGGUUCGAGAUGUCCAAUAUUUUAUAAUAUUUUUUCUUUUUUGAAAAAUACUUUAAAAGUUUGAAUCUCUAAUUACUAAGGCUCGCACCGCUCGCCCUCCCACUUGAGUGAGCACAGAUAAGCUCGACAUCAAAAUUGUUAUCCAGUCAUUGUUCACAAUCGGUACGGUUCUCAAAUUUAGUGAAAGAAAUUCUCUCAUUGUUGCAAAAUUACUUCUUCGUUUUUAGAAUAUGUGAAUUUGAUGUCCAACGAACCGCCUCCUCUGGUGAUGCUUUUUCCUCCGCUCUUCGAGUUCCCUCUACUCUCCUCAUGUAUUAAGUAAAUAUAUCAUUUUCUAUGAUUUGUUCUAGAUAGUUUAAAUUUUUAUAAACAUAAAAUUUCAAGUGCCUCUUCUACCACGAUUUCAAUUGCGUUGAUUUCAACCAUUUGUAUAAAUAUUUAGAAAAAGAAAAUGAACAAACCAUAGCAAGUUAGCAACUCUCUACGUUCAACAUGAUUCCUCAUUAGGAAAAAUGUCAUUUAAUCUACGAACUUACAAAUUUAGGCCAUUUAAACCACAAAUUUUUUAUGUGACCAUUCAAAACAUGAACUUGUCGUUGGCGUAUUUAUAACAUCAUCUUUCGUUGACCAAGCCUAAAUAAACAUAAUAUCCUCAAGUCCGUUAACAAAGGAGCUAGCCAUCGUUAAUUCAAAAUUUUUAGUGAGAAAAAGGUCGUUUAAGGCUAAAAAGAAAUCCCCAAAUUGUGAUUUAAGCGUCAUAAUCCAAAAUUUUAAAAUCCCUAAUUUCUCAUUUGGAGACUUCAUUUUAGCUUUAAACAACAUCGUUUCUCACUACUAUAUAUGGAUUAAUGAUGGCUAAAUGUAUGUUAGGUGUUAUGUUAAUGACGUAGAGGAUAUGAUGUUCAUUUUGUGUAGGUCAACGUAAUAUGAAUAGAUUCUUAAUUCACAUAAUAUAAAUUCCAAAAUUACGAUAAGAGAUCAUAUUGUGUCAUCAGCAGAAAUAAACAGCAAAAUCAAACAUCAAACAUCUAUAUUAAUAUUUUUGAAUCACUUUUCAAAAUAAAUCCUAGAGUUCCAAACUAUUUACAAAGAAUUCCAUUGAUAUUUAUUAUUUAUGUACAAAUUUGAAACUAACAAUAAUCACUUUUAACAAAUUUUCCAUUAGUUACAUUUUUGGUAUAUUUAUGACAAAUAUAUGAUAAUCUUUAUGUUACAAUUUAUGGUAAAUUUAUGACAGUAUUUCCGUAACUGAUUAUUAUUAGUUUCAAAAUUUUACAAAAAUAAUAAAUAUCAAUGGAAUUCUUUGUAAAUAGUUUGAAACUCUAGGAUUUAUUUUGAAAAGUGAUUGAAAAAUAUUAAUAUAGAUAUUUGAUAUAUAAUUUUGUUGUUUAUUUCUGCUGAUGACACAAUACGAUCUCUUAUCGUAAUUUUGGAAUUUAUAUUAUGUGAGUUAUAAAUAUUAAUUUAACAACUCAUUAAAAGAAAAACACAAAAUAUAAAACAUAUAAUUUAGUUUGAUUUGAUUUUUAGAUUUUUAGGUAUGAGAAUAUUUUUGUUUGUUUAGUUUUGCUUCAUUCGUUCUCAUCACAAGUAUGAAAUAUACAUUUCCACGAUUAUGAAACUUUAGACUGAAAGAAUAUAUAGUAAAAAACGUAUCAUUAGAAAACUUAUUAAUCAACUUUAAACAUUAAUUUGAGAAAAAAGAAUACACACUGGAAUCACUAGAACAUUUAUAUAUACAAUCAAAUCAAAUUGAUUCGAUUUUGUAUAAUUGACACCAUUCUUAUAUAUUUUCUAUUAAUCUACCCAAUUCACCAACUACAAUAUUGAUCUUUAAAAAAAAUGAAAUAAAAUGUUUAAGAAAAAAAGAAAGUAAAAAAGGUAAAAAAGUAAAAAAAAAAGUUCAAGGAAGAAGAUCAUCGCCGAAGAGGUAAAGGAGUCGUUCAACAGCCCAACUAGGUUGGUUAACGGAAGAACAAUCCGAGAACGACGGAAGCAACGGCGUUCGACAAAGCGGACAAGUACGGUGGUUAUCAUCAUCAUCCCCGCCGCAACCGCCGCCUCGACAUACAUAAUCAACCCACCGGUCAAUACAAUCACGAUGAAACACGUGAGUACAGUUCCUAAGCUCUCUAAUUUCGUCGUUGUCUUCUAAAUCUCCUAGACACACCGCGCACGUGUCGCUAAUCGACGACGACGCGGGGGAUCUCUCCACCGCGUCGCGGAAAGCUGUUAUGGCUAGGCUUUCUUUAAUGGUUUGAGAUGAAACGGAAAGAGAUAAAGAUUUUGGUUCGGAAAUAACAGAUGAUGAUUGAGAUCGGUAACGGAGGAUACAGGCGAAGAUCCAUCGUAAAACCGCGAUGACGACCGCGGUUUUGUAAAGAAGGUGGCUGAUGAUGAGAUUAGUGUCUUCGAUGAAGAAUGUCAUUGUAAUGUUUUCUUGGUGAAGUGUUAAGAGAGAGAGGAGAAGAAGAGGGAGGAAGAGAGGUUUAGCAUCAUGUUCCCUUUAUAAAGGAAAAUUAAAGGUUGCUUUAUAAAAAAUUAUAAUGUUUAUAUAUACUAUUGUUUUAAAUUUUAUUUUUGCAUUAGAAACUUUAGUGUCUUGUGUUUAUCUUUUGUAUCCUAAAAUUUUAAAUUAUAGAGUUAAAGAAUCUAUGUAUAAAAGUAAAACAAUUAAACGUCUAUUAUAUUGUUUUAUCGGCUGUAGUAUGUUGAAAAGUUAAUCAGUCAAAUAAAAUGUGCUUUUUAUCCAUACAAAGAUAAACAGUAAAAUUGAAAAUUCAAAGCAUGGAAACUAUUAACUAGUUGCAAAUUGAAAUAGAGUAAAAGGGAGAGAAAAAAAAAACUUGGAUAAGAUUUAUGUUAUUCAAAGUAAUUAAAGUUUGGAUAAGAUUUUUGUUCGAUUUAUGUUAUUUAAUUAGCAUUUAUCCGACUAAUUAAAUAAUAAAUAUAAUCACUAAAAAUUUGACUCGUCACAAAUUUUAUAAUAUAUUAUAAUCCGGAGCACCAUUUUUAUACUUGUAAAACAAAUUUUCAAUAGAAAUCGAACUAAAAUUACAUUUAAAAGAAAAAUCAAUUUACACCUGUUUUGUAAAUUUAAAUUUUGGUUUACACAUAUACUAAACUCUCUCUCUCUAUAUAUAUAUAUAUAUAUGAAAUUGAAUAUAUUUAUAAGUUGAAUACAAACCCAAUUAUGUAAAGGUGAAUCUUAUUAAUUUGGGUGAAGAAAUGAAAAUCUAAAAAAAUCAUCAAGGGUGAAGACAGUUGUGAGCAACUAAAGAGAAGGUGACGUUGUGAUGUUAGGUUAGUGCCGUUCAUGUGUCCACGACAGUCUUUGCUAGUCUGGCUUUUGCAUUGCAUUGCAUGAUAAGGACGGUUGGGAAUAAAAGACGAUCGUCGUAAUCACUUUUACCAAACCACCCAAAAAGAGAAACAUAAUAUUUUACAACACAAGGACAUGCAAAAACAUUUUGAUGUAACAUAUCUAUUUAUUAUAUAUCAUUAUCGUUGGGGUUCUCUUUUAGGAGCCAUUGGUCACAUAAGCCUUUAAAAUUUGUUUAGUACAUUUGUGGCUUAUUUGCCUUAACGAUUACGGCUUGCUUUGUUUUACAUUUCACAUAAAUUUUUGGGUUUUCUUUUAGUUUUUGUUAGGCCUGCGACAUCGGGUCGGGUCGGAUAAUACGGAUCGGGUAUUCGGGUAAUUUGGAAUUUGAAAAACGUUUUCGAAAAUAACCGAACUACAUAAUGGGUCGGGUCAGUUUGAGUAUCGGGUUUUUUCGGUUACUUUUUUUCUUACCAAAAUGAACCAAAUGUUUAAGAUUCUCGGUUAGAUUAGUAAAAUCGGAUCAAAAAUCUUGGUUAAAUGUGGUAAUUUCGGUUAAUUCGGUUAAUUUGGUUAUAUCGGAUCGGUUAUUUUGAUUAAUUUCGGAUAAAUACGGAUAACUUCGGAUAACCGAUCGGGUAACGGAUUGGUAACCGACUGGAAUUUAUUAAUCCUUCCGAUCGGUUAUCUCUGGUUAACCGAAACCGAACCAAAAACCGAAAAUCUCGGUUCGGGUCGGUUUGGUAUUUUCGGGUCGGAUACUAAUCCCAGGGGUAAUUUUUGUUACAAAAGUUAGAAUGAUUAGACAAGUCAAAUUCGAAAAUGUGGAAAUAAUUAAAAUAUUUAUGAGAUUUUUCAUUAGAGUUUAUUAUAUAUUCAGGCUUACGUUGCAUUUCAUUAAUUUAUUUAAAUGUUCUUACGUGGCAUCUUUAAUGAAAUUUAAAUAUUGAAUUAGAGUUCUAUAACGUAAAGGCUAAUACGAGUAGCGCGUUAAUUAGUUAGUUAAAAUAAUAAAUUUGUGAUAGACAUCAACCCAUUAAUAGCACAGUAGUAGUGGUUCUGCUUUUUGUUUUUUUUUGUUUUACAGUUAAGAAAUUUCACGUAAGCAUAUAUAUCACUAUAUUUAGAUGUAAAAACUACGAUGAUGGUGUAAAAGGAUUGAUUGUUAUACUUUUGAAUCAGAUAGUGCUGAGUUUAUCGCAAUGGUGUAAAACUAUCAAGAGUGACGAGCUUUCUCUAACAUGUUAGUUGAAUUCUUUGUGUUACGUGCGUAUUUUUCUUCAUUUUUUAAACUAAGAUUUCACAUUCUUGUAAUUCAAAAGUGGAUUGUCUUGCUCGUUCUUUCAGAUCACUUGAUUUUAAAGUUUCUUUUGUAAACGAUUUUUCCUUCCUGGUUAGGUUACUAAUCAUAGAACAAUAUUUUAAUUAAUGUGUGGUUGACAAAAAAAAAACCCUACCAUGAUGCAUGCAAUGAAGUAUUACUAGGAUAUAAAAAAGACAAGAACAAAUCAUAACAGAAAAUAAAUAUUAUUAUCGUUAUAACGGUCACAAAAUAUAAAUAUUAUUUUUGUUAUAAGAAUUUUAUUGUAACAAAAGCAAUAUAAAUUCUAAUAUAUUACAAUAAAUCGUUUCAAAUCCAAGUAAAUUAAAAUAACAAUUGUCACGAUUUCUAAUGUUAACAAUUCGUCAUAAUUAAAUACGAAAAAGACACAAUUAGUUACGGAAUUACUGUCAUAAAUAUACCAUAAAAUGUAACAUAAAGAUUAUCAUAUAUUUGCCAUUAGUUACAUUUUACGACCAAAAUAUAGUCUCGAAUUUGACAUACUUAGCAAAUCGAUUAUAAUCAGACAAUCAUCACAAUUUGGUAUUUUAUUUGCGACUCUAGAGUUAUAGAACGAUUAUUAAACUUUAUUAUAAUGAUCAUGGUCCUUAAUUAGGUUAAGGAACUAGACAAAACCUUUCCACAUGCACAUGAGUACAUGACACAUGUUGUCGUCGACUACCAAAAACGAUCGUUAAACUUAUAAAAAGACAAGAUGGUCCCAAUCUGACACAUCAGUUUCCUAACUAUCUUACUCAGAUUCCAUUUACUUGUAAAGUUUCAAACUUUCAUGUCAAAAUGCUCGUAUAAAUCUAAUAUAUGAAGAAAAAAUAUAAACCAAAGAUAAAUAAAAGCAUAUUGCAAAUGUCCAAAAUCUUCCACACUAUUGCAUCAUUGACAAAAAUUGUUUUCGAUUAAACAAAUUGGAUACAAUGUUUUGACUCUAAUACAAAUGGCCUGACCAGAGAAAGGGAAGAAACAACAUGAUCAUAAGAUUUUGGUAGAAGAUGGAAGAAGUAAAAAUUUGAGAUACCAAGUUAAGUAUAUAGUAUUGACUUUCACUACAAGAAAACACGCGUAUUGCUAGGGAAAAAUGCCUAGCGUAUUCCUCGCAAUACGUUAAUCGCAAGGGAAUUGCGAGAAACGACUUUUCCUCGCAAAUCGUGACUCGCAAAUUGUAACGCUCGCAAUUCACUCGCAAAAUUUGCGAGGUAUUACAUGUCUCGCAAAUUCCCUAGCAAAUUGCGAGUAACUCAUUCCUAGCACUUUUAUCGCUAUAUUUGCGAGGGUUUACAUGCCUCGCAAAGGGCGUAGCAAAUUUGCGAGGGCUGGCUUAGUUGCAAUUUACUUGCAAAAUUACUGUCUUGCAAUUCCCUCGCAUAUGUUGCGAGGCUUUCACAAAUGUUUGGUUCCUUGCAAUUGGUUAGUAUACAGACCAAAUCAUCACUUAUGCUAUGAAUCUAAUUGAAAUUAGAAACUGAAUUAUGAUUUAAAUUUACUUGCAAACUGAAUUAUGAUAAAAUGAAAAAUAGAAAUUAGAAACUGAAUUAUGAUAAAAGUCAUAGGUUUAGGUUUACAAAUUUACAAUCAUGAAAAUCAAAAACUAAAGUUCAUCAUAUCAACUUGGUCAGAGGAGGUUCCAUUGUGGUCAAGAGUUCAAGUCCAUAGCAGAGGAGGUUCCAAUGUGGGCAGAUGCAGUGGCAGCCUCAGUCUGAUUUGUCAUGUCAGCCCCGGUCUGGUUUGUCUCUGUCGGUCCAGCUGGGUGUCCAGAUCGAAACCUUGCAGCAAACUCUGGAUCCUUCUCAGCAAAGUAAUCAAAAUAAGCUUGCAAGCAAUUAACCUUCUCAAUACUCUGCUGAAGAAGAGCUUCAGUUGCUGCUAGCUUUUCCUUAAGCACCACCGGAUCAUCGUCAGCUGGAGCAGGAGGUGCACCAGUAUGGGCUGAAGCCGCUUCAGCUUGCAAAGAACCAACUCCAUAAAUUCUGUUCUUCUUCUUUGGGGCAACCUGGCAACAAAACAAAGAAACUGUAAUUACCAACACAAAACAGAACUGAGAAGACACAAAUGCUUCUAACUUUAAAUCCGAGAAAAGAAAAAACACAACUGAGAAGUCUAUGUGCUACUACAAUACAGAACAUGCCUAAGUUACAUAGAAAAGAAAUACAACACAUACAAUACAAAUGUUGGUGACAAGCUACUAACAAAUUAACAACAAUACAAAAGCUAACCAUAGAAAGAGAAUGAAAGAGUAAUUAAAGUUGAGUGGUACCUCGGCAAAUAUCUUGUUUUUUACAUAAACGGGCAACCCUGGAGAAGAAAUAGGCACGGUCCUUGUAAGAUUCAUAAUCUUUUUCUUCUAAAUUGGGAAAGGCUUCACGUAUCUGCGAAUCAAAUAUCCUACACUCAAAAAUUAUUAUGUCAAUGUCCAUAAAGAAGUUUAAAUACACAGUAAAAAAUCAAUAUUAAAUUAAAUCCAAAUUUUGUACCUCUCGAAAGAUUGGAUGUAAUCCAAAUUACGCAAGAUGUAAUUGUGAGCUGCUCGACAAUAGGCAUGAUCUUCCCACCAAACUUCUUUCAACUUUCCAGCAAGUCUUCCUAUCUGUGCAAAGACAUCCGGGACAUCAGGAACAUUAUAGGUUUGUGCAACACCUCCGUCGUCAUAUCGUCGAGGACGAGUUUUUUUUGUUCUCACGGAAGGGCUAAAGUAGUAAGAUGUAAAAUGGGAAGUUUCCUCCGUUAGACUUCCGGCGACUAUCGAUCCCUCAACUCUUGCAAGAUUUUUCGCCUUUCCUUUCAGAGACUUCAUAAACCGCUCAAACGGAUACAUCCAUCGAAAUUGCACAGGUCCACCAAGAGCUGCUUCAUGUGGUAGAUGGAUUGGGAGAUGUUCCAUCACAUCAAAAAAUGAAGGUGGAAAUAUUUUCUCCAAGUUGCAAAUCAACACCGGGAUAUUAUCAUCUAGCUGCUGAAUGCCGUCCCAAGACAAUGUUCGGGUGCAUAGGUCUCUGAAAAAUGCUCCGAUACCUACAAAGGUUAUGUAAAAUGAGUUAAUAAGUUAAUCAAAUAAUAUAGUUAAUUCAUCAUACGUAAAAAAUAACACUGGUACAUAAAUGAAUUAAUUAAGUAUACUAUUAUUAGCUGCAAUAGCUUCAUGAACAUGUAUUGGCAGAAGCUCAAGAAACACAAAUGGCAGUAACCGCUACAUGAAGACAUGACAAUCAUGGCUCUUCAUACCUGAGAAUUUUUGGCUUUGCUCAACACAUCUAGAAAAUUUUGAAACAUAACCAUCUGGGAACUUCACUUCUGAUGUAAUCCACUCGAACAACGCCUUCUUAGCAUCUGCGGUCAAUCGAAAGUUCGAUACUGGCAUUUUUCCAUUUCUCGUAAGAUGUAACUCGACCCUUGCACAUAUUUCCACCAAGUCCAACCUUGACUUCAUAUUAUCCUUUGUUUUACCCUGAACAUUCAAAAGUGUGUUAAUGAUAUUAUCAAAAACGUUUUUCUCGAUAUGCAUCACAUCCAGGUUGUGCCUCAAGAGGAGAUCUUUCCAAUACGGAAGCUCCCAGAAAAUACUCUGUUUGUGCCAAUUGUGAGUGCAGGUGUAUCCGUCUGGCAUAUUCGCUGGGGUGUGCCAAUUACCUCCAACUUUACAUGUCUCCUGAGCACCAUAAUAAUCGAUCUGUUCUAACAAAUAAUUGCCAGAAACAUAGCUCGGUGGAGGAACACGCACAACUUUAUUCUUUCUAAACCACUUCUUGUUCUUUCGGUACGGAUGAUGCAGAGGAAGAAACCUACGAUGACAAUCAAACCAACAUGGUUUUCGUCCAUUCUUAAGCUGAAACGCAUCAGUUCGCUCCAUACAAUAUGGACAUGAUAAUCUUCCAUGAGUUGUCCAUCCAGAUAACAUUCCGUAUGCAGGAAAGUCACUAAUCGUCCACAUUAGCACUGCCCGCAUAUUGAAGUUUUGUUUCUUUGAGUAAUCAAACGUUUGAACCCCUUCGUUCCACAACUGCUUCAGCUCAUGAAUCAGAGGUUGCAAGAAUAUAUCGAGUGCUCGCUUCGGAUGCUUAGGCCCUGGCACUAAAAUACUCAACCAUAGAAAUUCGCUUUGCAUACACAUAUCUGGAGUAAGAUUGUAUGGCGUUAAGAUAACCGGCCACAAAGAAUAUUGCCUCCCAGACAUACCAAAUGGGCUGAAUCCAUCUGUACACAAACCAAGAUAAACAUUCCUACACUCUUGAGCAAAGUCAGGAUAUACCGUUUGAAAAUGUUUCCACGCCUUCGCAUCCGAGGGAUGUGUAAUUUCUCCAUUUGCAGUGGAAUGUUCUGCAUGCCACCUCAUUGCUGCUGCAGUCCUCUUUGAUUGGUAUAAGCGUUUUAAUCUAUCAGUGAUUGGCAAGUACCACAUACGUUUGUAUGGAACCCGCGUCCUUCCUUGAGUAUCCUGAUAUCUCGGCUUCCCGCAAAACCGACAUUCCUGCAACUUUUCAUCAUCUUUCCAGAAAAUCAUGUAGUAGUCAACGCAUACAUCAAUCAUUUCAGAUGGUAACCCAAGACCUGAAACCAACUUUUGGAUUUCAUAGUAAUUCUCAGCCGAUAAAUUAUCUUCUGGCAAAUAUUCUUUGAUUAACUCAGCCCAUGAAUCCAUGCAAAUUUCACUUAAGUUAUUAUCAGCUUUAAUUGUCAUCAUCCUAGAUGCCAAUGAUAACUUAGAAUGCCCUUCUCUACAUCCAUCGUAGAUAGGUUGAUUUGCAGCAUCUAACAUAUCAUAAAAACGUUUCGCAUCUACGUUGGGUUCUUCUGUACUACUCUCAACAAAAGCAGGAUUACUUUCAGGAAAUGCAUCAUUAACCAUAUCAUAGAAUCUAUUUUCUUGGUUAAACCCAUGAAAACCAAAUUGAUCAUAUUCUUGAUGCCCAUAAUUUUCAUAAUUACUAGGUUGACCAACAACAUUAUGCGUACUACUUCCAGCAUUAUCGCUACAACCCUCUCCAUGACGAAACCAUACAUAAUAGUUAAGCAUAAACCCUCUAUUAUAAAGAUGUUUCUUCACUAGAUUAAACUCCAAGUAUUUUUCAUUUACGCACUUACGACAUGGACAGAAAAUUGUACCGUUAUCACGAGCAAAAGGUUGGUUUGUUGCUUGGUACAUGAACCCCCGUAAACCAUCGCAAAAUUCUCUCGUCACAUCACCGGUCUCCGGAUCUCUAUGAUUGUACAUCCAUCGUCGUAUUGUGUAUAUCUCAUGCUCUCUACUUCCAGCCAUUUUUUCAAAUGGCUCACUUUGGAGAACUUUUUCUUUCUAGAAUAGCUUUGUGUUUUGCAAAUGUUUGAGUUAUGAUUUCAGUUCAACAUGGAUUUGCUAUUUAUAGGGGGAAAAAACGCGAUGCUAUGGAGUUGCUAGGGAAAAUUGCGAGGCUCUUACAAGGGAAAGAGUGUUGUCUCACAAUUUCCAACAAAUCUGCGAACUAUAUCCCGACAACAAUGUCAAACGAUGUAAAAAGUUUUCGCCUAACUUUCGCUACGGAAUUGCUAGAUAUUUGCUAGACGUUUGCGAGAGAAAGAGAAUCUUGUCUCACAAUUUCCAACUCAAGUUUGAACUUUAUCCCGACAACUCUGUCAAAGUCAUUUAAAAUGUUUUCGCCUAACUUUGCUACGAACUUGCUAGGAAUUCUGCUAGGCAAUUGCAACCAACUCGCGAGGGAUUUAUCCGGUUUUCGAGAACAUCUGCCAUAUCAUUUAAUAAGUUUGUUGCCUAGUUAUUAUCUCGUAAUUUAGCUACUACUUUGCGAGGAUUUUUUGUGACCUAGCAAUGUGGUUGCAUGUGCCUCGCAAUUUUGCGAGGAUCUUUUCCCUAGCAAACUUGCGAGUAUUCUACGAGGCGCGUCGAGUUGCUCGCAAAAGUCUAGGUAUAACGUCGCAAAUUUGCUAGGCAUUGUUUCCCUAGAAAAUUUUCCUCGCAAUACGCGUGUUUUCUUGUAGUGUUUUGAGGAGAACCAAUUCUGAAGUAGCUAUAUAUAAAAAGGCUGCAUAGUGCAUAUAGAUAUUGACGCCUAUAAUUAACCAAUUUUUCAUUUUUUAUGAAAUCAUUCAUGCACAAAAUUACCGUUUUUAGAUUUUAUUUAUGUAGAAAAUAAAGUAGAUGUGGCAAUAUGCGUUAGUGAUACAACUUUGAUCUUGGAUAAAUAUUAGUUCUUUGUAUUUUAUCUAUGUAUUUACGUUUACCUUAUUUUGAUAAAAAAAAAAUUAUAGGUGUUCUAGAUUUUUAUUUUUAAAAUAUAAAUAUUAUUAGUUUAUUUAUGGUUAACUAAUUCGUUCAAUUGUUGAUUUUAAGAUUUGAUUAAAAAUAAGAGUUUUUUUUAUUUAUUUUAUAUUUUCCGUAAAUCUAUCAAAUUCUUGACGGCUUCAAAACAUGUCUUUAUCAAUUUUUCGGAUCGAUCUAUUGAUUAAGUUGAUUAUCAUUGCUUCCGUGCACUCCAUUAGUUCGCUAGGUUGAAUUUGUUACAUUGCAAACAUUCAUUAGAAUGUUACAUUUUAUUUAUCUCUGCGUGAAUUGGAUCGACAAUGUACUAAACGAUCUUAGGUAGCAUAUAUAGUCACAAAAAGAUGCAUGUUCGUUGAACGGGUGCUUUUGUUUCACUUGAGUCCGACUUGAUCGAUUGACGAACGGUCUAUUUAGUAUGUGACAAACUGAAAUCUUUUUUAUCAAUUGAUAACUAGUUCAAAUUUGAUUAAGCCUACGAUAUGUUUAUAAUCCAUUGCAGAAAAUAACAAAAGAUGUAUUAGAAAAAAAUAUGAGAAAACUAGAAGACAUUCUAUGAAAAUGUCAUUUUUGCUCAAGAAAAUUUGAUAAAAAUUCAAUAUUUAUUGUACAUAUAAUAUACGAUCAUAGAAACAACCAAUAAUAUAUCAUAUCAAUAAAAGAAAAUGAAAAAGAGUAAGAGAACCAGAUACAUUGAUUUUCAAAAGACAAAUGAGAGAAAGUAUCAAUCUAAAGCUUUGAGGGGAUUACAAAGGCCCCAUGUGAGAUAUGAUCUUCUUCUUUUUAUAUGCUUUGGUUGGUUGACUAAAGACUUUGCGUCGACAUCCCCACUAACCCUUUUGAGUAUUACAACGACUCUUUUCUAAUGUGUGGGUCUCUCAAUAUCUAUUUGUAAGACUAUGAGAAGUAAACUCAUAUCUCAAAGAUAUAGCUUUACCUCUCUUAUCACCACUAGCUAGUCCAAGACAGACUCCAAAGACACUUGUUCUUUUCUUUUCCUUUGUUUUUUUGAUUUCUUUGAUCUUUUUGGUACUUAGAGAGACAUUUUCUUCUUGUUAAUUGAAAUCAAGAUUAGGUGAGUAAAUGCAUGCAUCUACGUAGUAUGAAUCUCACGUUAUCUUAACCACUCCCAUCAUAUUUCAAAAGGAAAGUUUCAAGACAUAUCAUUUUCAGGCACGUUCUUAACUUGCAAUGCUUUUUGUUAUUUUUAAGAAACUGAGAAAUCAAACAACUGAAGAAAAGAAGAAGAAAAUUGAAAGCAUUGAAGACCGUGGGGAAGAAAAGAGAGACAAUAAAACAUAUAAUUUUUUUUUUAAUAAAUCUUGAAGGUUCUUUAUCUUUUUUUUUUUUUUAAAACGGACCUUUUUAUUGAUUACUAGUCGGUUGUCCGCGCUAUGCGCGGGAGUUUAUUAUGUUGUUUAUGAGUAAUUGGUUCGUAUUUUAUUUUCUACUUCUUUUUUUCACUAUACCAUACUUUACUUUUUUAAAACUUAGAUUGUGUUUUUAUAGAAAAACUAUUGAGUUUUAGCUUCAUUAGUUUUUGAGAAAUUAAGUGUGUAUAGUAUAAGUCGAAGUGUGGGCGUAAACGGAAGUGCGGUGAAAAAUCAUUGAGAAACGUGUGCUAUUAGGGUUUCCACCAAAUAUAGAUCUAGAUGUUAAUAUUUUGUGCCUUUUAUAUGUUGGCAUGAAAUUUGAACAUGAUUUGUGGGUUUCGGGCGGAUUGUUGUAUUUUUAAUUGUUUACAUUAUCUCUUUAUAUAUUGUCAUAAUUUAUUUUUUUGUUUUAUGUUUUUCUUUUUUGGAUUUGUCGUAAUUAUAUCUCGUAAUGAUCAUUUUUAUACUAUUAUAUAUUUGUUUCUGAUUUUAUGUUACAUAGAUUUUUUUUGUUUUUUUUUUUUUUUUUUUUUUUGAUAAACCCUAUCGGCUGAUCCGGUCAGCCCCGGUAGAAACGCACCGAAGUGCUUCAGAGUGGACUUCUCCCCAAAGGGCCACCACACUGUCUAUCCCGAGUUUGGAAUGCUUUCUGACUAAUGCCAGGGAGUAGUCAGGCCGCCUGCAUUUCUGACUACCAGGUAACCAAUUGGGCCAAGGCCCAACUGACAGACUUCCCACACAACAAUGAUUUUUGUUUUCAGGGUGGAUCGAACCUGGGUUAGUUCCUUCCAACCUUUCCCCAAUUUUCCCUUACCACUGGACCACUGCUGUGCGGGCUUUUUUUUGUUUUUCAUAUGGAACAAUUUUUAAAUUUAACAUAUUAGUAUAAUUUACUUUAUAUUUAGUUUAUUUCAUUUAAUAAUGUUUUUAAUUUUAAUUUUUCAAUUUUUAUGAAAUAUAGUUAAUUUUUUAUUUUGUUUAUUAGUUUAACAUAUGUGUUGUAUUGGAAACAUAUAGUUAAAUUCAUAUUGGAAAUUUUUAAGGAAAUAUUAUUUUUAUUUUUACCUUUUUA